GGGAAAUUGGCAAAAGUCGUUCUCUCAUCCUGCUGCAUUCACAAAACCCUUCACUGGAUCAAAGAGUGGUGGAAGGACAGUGCUGGAUAUAGUCCAAUAUUACUCUGAUCUUUUCUCCUUUGCUGCUGUCGGGGAUGACAAGUGACACCAGAGCCUUACAACAAAAUAACAAGUCUCUGUAUUCCUGUUCCCCAUCUAAACUGGUGAUUCCAUCCAGAACAUAUGGGCCAGUGAUUUUGUAGAGGUAAGGAUAUUUUGCUUGUUAAAAUGAACGUAGGCCUCAUAUUGCUCAUAUUGGACUUUUAUUCUAUAACCAGCAAAAUGAUUGUUGUUCAGAUAGGCUGCAGUUACUUUCUGUUAUGAAAGUCAAUGGAAAUCUGCUGUCCUGGUGCUAAGUGUUGAGGGACAACUUUAAGGCUCCUGCUAGUCGGACCAGGCAGCCUGUCAAGUAGACUUUCAAAUAGAGGACUGUCUUCAUGUACUUUGGCCUUAGGUUCCCUGAAUCAAGCCCCAACAAGGAAGUGAAAUAGGGAAGGAACAACCUCUAUGGAGCAGGUUCUUUGCAGAAAUGAGUGGAGGAGACAAGGCAUCUGUUCUCCUCACAGAGCUGAAGUUCUCAGAAUGGUUUAACAAUAAGUCCCUCUUCCCAGGGAACUCUGGAAAUUGUAGGUCUGUGGGGAUAAUGGGGGUCUUUUAACAACUUGCAGAACCCUUAACAAACUGCUGCUCCCAUGAUUCUUUGCAGGAAGCCAUGACUGUUUAAAGUGGUAUAAUACUGCUUCAAGUGUAUAGUGCAGAUGGAGUCUAAGCCAGCAACUAUUUUUCGUACGUAUGAUGCUUUGCAACUUGAAAAUUCUUUUAAGUCAUAAGAAAUGUGUGAUAAUUUUCCAAGUGUGGUCUCUAAUCUUUUGGUUUUUGUUUUCACCUGGUACUAUCACAAUCUGAAGCCUUGUUCAUAUAGCACUAUCUUACUUUUACUAGGGUGAUGAUUAUGUGAGGGAUAUGAGUCUAUGACUGCUUCCUGAGUUAAGUAUUGUUUCCUGUUCACCUGCUCAGCAAAGUUCCUACCUAGCUUCCUGCUUGUGCAGAAUCCCUUUUCCAAAUGCUUAUCCAGACAUAAGCAUGUGACAAUAAAAACCUGUUCCCUUGGUAACUGUGUCAGUUUUGCUCUACCCGCAACACCUUUUAAUUGCCUAACUGGCAUGGGUGCUAUCGUUUUCUCCUUAACUCUAUAAAUAGAGAGGGUCUUUAAAAUUGCUUAAAAUGGUAGGCUGCUCAGAAAAUGUUGUAGCAAUGUCGGAAACAUUUCUCCAAUGUAAUUUUUCUGCCACUCAGUCCUCCUGUGGACAUAGUCAGGAGUAGCUUAUUUCAUUGCCGCCACCAAUAUUUAUAAAUAGACCAAUGCAGCAAGUGCCAUCAUUAUCUAGCAGGUGCACUGCAAUUCAGGGAAUGUUUAAAAAUACUCAAGAGGCAUUUUAAAGAGAGACUUUGUGUACAUUUCCAUUCAGGAGCCAUUUUAAACUUCUGGGGUGCAACCAUGCAAAUUAUAAUGGAAAAGCGGGAGAAACUUGGAGGGGCGGGUGUGAGAUGAUGGUAGAUUGAUGAAGAUAAAGGUGGAAGGGUGGGAAUGUGAACAGAGAGGAUGGGGAAAUGUGUACAGAGAAGACAGGAAGGUGAUCUCCACACCAAACUCCUGAAGCUUAUAUGAUUAACAAAUUAAUUCACUCCCUAAAGGUAAAGGGACCCCUGACCAUUAGGUUCAGUCGUGGCUGACUCUGGGGUUGCGGCGCUCAUCUCACUUUAUUGGCCGAGGGAGCCAGUGUACAGCUUCCAGGUCAUGUGGCCAGCAUGACUAGGCCGCUUCUGGUGAACCAGAGCAGCGCAUGGAAACGCUGUUUACCUUCCUGCCGGAGUGGUACUUAUUUAUCUAUGUGCACUUUGACGUGCUUUUGAACUGCUAGGUUGGCAGGAGCUGGGACCAAGCAACAGGAGCUCACCCUGUCACAGGGAUUCGAACCGCCGACCUUCUGAUCGGCAAGUCCUAGGGUCUGUGGUUUAACCCACAGCGCCACCUGCAUCCCUAAUUCACUCCCUACAUAGCCCUAAUACCACCAGUUUACAGGCAACUCCCCAUUUAUGUACAUUCUAUUUACACAUGACUGGGCACAUGCAUGGUGCCCGGUACCUGGAAAUGUGAGCACCUGGUCAGCCAAGCCCCAAAGGAAAGCACAGCUUCCUCAGUUGAGAUUGGGAAAGCUUCUUCCUACAGGCAACUCCCCAUUUUAUGCCAUUUCACUAAUGCUUGUGGGGGUUCAUAACGUAGCCCCCAUGUAAUUGGGGAGUUACCUGUGAAGUGUAGGUGGAUUCAGGCAUGACCCAAGACUGAGAUUCAGCUCAGAAAGCAUUUAUUGGAACAUCAGGAGCAAGAACAAGAAUGACAAACAGGGGCACUUGGCCCAGUUUAUAUACCUUAAGCCGGCCCAGACAGAACACACACACUGUCUGCAAUAGGUUGCCUUAAUGCUGCAAUUAGCAAAUCACAACACUGGCCCUAUAUCAGCAGGGAUUGGCAGCCUGCCAGCUACUAACAAUGUCGCUAGAGGGUCGUAACAGCCCGUAUAGUGUAAGCAACCAACAAGCUAAUAUACUCAAACUUCAGUAACUUUUCCGUUAUUUCCUAAAAUUUAUACACUGCAUGGUUGUAAAAGGCCUCAAAGCAGUAUCUGUGUAAAUGAACACCAUACAUGUAACAUGAGUACUGCACAGAAAAUAAAUAAAUAAUAUUAUAUUUUAUUACUUCACUGACUUUACUCACAGGACUUGCAUAUGUGUUAUAUGUGUAACUUAUAACAGUUAUAAGAACUGGCAAAAGAGCUUCUUCUGUAAUGGUGAAAUAAAAAAUUUCCACAUUGAGGAUAUGUUUGAAAUCUAUUUGUAGACUAAAGCUCACACAUCUUUCCAUGGGUAAUAUCCCUUGGUUCUCACUUUGCACAUUGCAGUGGAAGUGCAAGUCAUCCACAUAUCCUGAUAUGUGCAGCUUUACAGCAGUAACGAAAUAUGAACUCUAUGGAUGUUUAGAAGUCAGUAUAUAGCACUAGUAGUUCUACUUAGUAUCUUUGUUCUGCAGCCUAGUGAAUCCAAUAGGAAAUAUUUAAAGAAAACCUGGAAAGUUGCCCAUUCAUGAGCAGUUCUACCUUUGCCUGUUGGGACUCUUUGGUUGCAAUCCUAUGCACACUUAAAGUCACUUCUAGGAGCAUAGGAUUGCACUGUUUUGAGGAGCUCAAUCUGCAGAUGCUCUAUUUGCCAAGGGAGCUUCAGUGAUAAUGUACAACUGCACAAAUAUAAGGGGGAAAGGUAUAUACUGUAGAUAAAGGUUCACAUUUGUUUUUCUUUAACAAGGCAGCUGAACUGCAAAAUGUUGAAAGGAUCACUGGCUUUUGCCCCUUGGGAAGAGGAGGUAUUCAAUUACAAUCCACUGUUUUCUAAAUGGGCAUUACUCCGACCCUUUCCUACCAUGGAUCAGCAAAUUUAACAAUUAACUCUAGCAUGGCAGCAUUCCAAUUGGGUUAAAUACAAAGGUCACUGCACUGUGGGUUAAAGGUAAAUGAAGUUAUAAUUGGCUCUAAUUGGUGUUCCCAUAAGCUUCACUUGAUAAAAUAGAAAAUGGCCUUCUGAAACCAGAGAAAACUGAAAAAAGAUCUUUCUUGCAGCCAAAACUGGAGUCAAGAAGAAAAGUAUAAGAGAAACACAUAAACACACAUAGUUAUACCAAAUUUUACAAACAAACAAAAAAUGAUUAACACAAAUAGCAUAUGGUAGAAAUAUCAGCUUGGUAUUACACUCUUUGGAAAUAGAUUAGAAUUUGAAUUGCAAAUGGACUCCUUGAGUCCAACCUUUUGCAUGUUUCUACAACUGUUCCAGCAUCUUCAUGUCAUGCUUGCAGACAUCUUUAUAACACAGAGUUAGUGCGCCAACAGGCCUGGUACCUGAAGCCAGCUCCCUGUAAAUCACAUCCUUAGGGAUCCUGCCAUCUUCCAUUCUGUGUAUAUGAAGAAGCCAACAUAGAUGUCACUAAGACAAAGUGUGAACAUGCUGGGGAUGUGUGCUUGGAAAAGUACAUCUUUCUUUGAGACUCUGUCCUGCCGUGUGAUGCCCAAAAUCUUCCUGAGACAUAUGGAAGGCAUCGAGGCAUCGCUCCUGAUGGUUGUAAGUUGUCCAUGACUCACUUCCAUAAAGCAGCGUGUUCAACACACAAGCCUGGGGGACCUUCAUCUUAGUGUUGCCAUUGCCAUAGCUGCCCUGCCAAUACAUUUGUCCAGCUCAGCAUCAGAGAGGUUGCUGGUUAUGGUGUCCAUGUGCAUUCACACUGAGAUUUGUGUGUAUCUAUAUGAAGGCAAACGGCAUCCCAGAUGGCAAGACUGAUGAGUGAAUCAUUAUUGUAUGUCUUUCAACUAUGGUGUGAAGAUGGAAGAAAUGCUAGCUCACCCCAUGAGGGAAAAAUCUUCUGCAUCUCCAUCCUGUUUUAGCGUUGUUGCUGUUUUGAAAAUAAUAUUCAUUUGUGCUAUAUUUUUUUAUAUUCUGCAUUCUUCUACCCACCCACUACAAGAACAAUGCAAUGGGAUAAAAAAAAAAUCCCUGUACUUACAAGAAGCAGACAAGUUACAGUCCUUACAUUAGGAGUGGGGAAACUUUUGCAACCUGAGAGCCACAUUCUCUUCUAGGUAACCUUCCAGGCAUCACAUGACAGUGGCGGGCAAGGCCAAAGGCCAAAGUAGGCUCCUCAGAUACCCUCCUGAUAAGUGUAGAAAGUCUCCAUUAGAUUAUUUAAAGACACACACAAAAAGGGCCGAUCAAAUGGGGUGAACUUAGAUGAGUCUUCAGUGGGAAGAUAAAAUUAGGAACUGGCAUAUUUGUUGGUUAAAAUCCACAGAAAGGGCUGCCAGUCUGUACUGUUGAAACACUAUAUUUCUGAAAAUGACUGAGUGGAAAUUGAAACUCUUUUCUGCCAGAUAUCAAGCUUUGUGUUGAGCUAGUGUACUGCAGUCUUCCUGAAUCGAUGAACUUGUAUUGGCCUGCAAUUAUGGAAAGAACAAUGUAUCUGUAGCUAUUGUCUUAGCAAUAGUUUGGCAAUUCUAAAGUUAGUAAAGGCACAAUUGCAAACAAUUCCAGGAGAAAGAAAAAUGGGAGACAUUUUUAAAAGCCAGUAUGACUGCACAACAGGCAUAACAAGGAACUACAAACACACACACACACACAUUUAAGAAAAGGAAGGAAGGAGAACUUGCCAAAGUCCAAUAUAGAUGAGCAGCGCAGACUUCUGGGACCAUGUCAGGAAAGCUAAUCAGGAUCAUGCUGAGAGCAACAAAAGCAUCUUUUUCAGAUAUGUUCAGAAGAAGAGGAAGGAAAUGAUAGGCUCACUGUUCAAUAAUUAAUGUGAAAUUUUAAUGUAUGACAAAGAAAGGCAGAACUGCUUAAUUCCUGUUUUUGCCCCUUCUCCUGAAAAGGGAACUGUGGUCAAAUCCACACUAUACAGUUAAAGCAGUUUCUUUGAGGGAAGCCGCCAUGACUACGCUUUCUUGAAGGAUACACUGUACCCUUUUUUGUAUUCAUUUACUCCAAAAGCCUGUCCUCCACUGAUUUAAAAGCCAAUAAGGUGUUCUUUGGGUUAAAUGUCUAUUAGGGGGGAAAAACAUACAACAUUAUUAUCAUAUCAGUAUCAACCGCCUCAGCUUUAGAGUGCAAAAUUACCGGCUGUGCAAGUGCAUUCACAGGUGCAGUAAAGACAAGCUGUGUUGUCUUCGGAGAUUUAAUUGCUAAAGAGGGGCUGAACUCCCAACCAUGGCAACUCUAGCAACUUACAUUUACAUUUUCUUUUUAAUCAAGCACUUUCCAAAAGCAAAGGAAAGAAAUUGGGUGCAAAACGAGGAUACCGAUUUGCCAAACACAAGGUCACUUCCACAUACAGUAUCUGAAAGGCAGUACAGAGUGAGUUGUGAGGCAACGUGGGCAACCCCACAUCCCCAGACACCUGCCUGCUCAAAGCACAUGGGAUAGAGUUCUAUGCAUGUUUCAACGCACAUGCAUAGAGUUCUUCCACAUCAGGAAGGAAUUUGAUUGGGCCAGGAUCCUUCCUCAUCUGUGUUCUAUGCACACACAGGCUUAACUCCUCCUUGCUCUCUCAGAACACACAAAUGUCAGAGGAGUUUGGCUGCCAGUACAACCCAUUUAUCCCUUCUUUCAUUGCAUGGAUGGGAUUAGGUGAACUACACUAUGAAACAGAGAUUGCCCCUUAUAAAUAGGGAUAGUUGACAUGUGACUCCUCUUUGGUCACAUACACACCAUACAUUUAAAACACUAUUAUUCUUAUUUUCCAUAUAAUUUCUAUUGAAGUUUUAAAAUUACAAGAAAAUGGAAAAAAAAAAUUGCAGAAGGAAAAUAAGAAAGAGAAAACAGAGAUAAGAUACCAGGGGUGGGGGAGCACAUUGCAGCACCAAUGCAGACAUGGAACAUGAGUACAGCAGAAUUUUACUGAGGUUGAACAAAUACUUGUAGAUAUUUGGAAAAGAAAAUACCACAGUAAUUACCAAUCUGUUGAAUGCAAGGUGGGUCAAACAAAAAUGUUACUCUUAAUUCCCUUGCUUUCUUAUUAUGUGAAGACCAUCUAAAUAGAGAUAGAAUAAGAAUAAAAUUUAAGAUAUAAUAAAAGAGCAUGGGUGUGCUAUAUCUUCUUGGCUGUAUUUUCCUCUAGCUCAUACUUCAGCAUAAGCUAGAUAAAAUAUCCAUCUUUAUUAAUAAAUGAUAUGAAAUUGAACCAUCUUUUUUUACUAGACCCCACAGAGACUUUCAGUUUGAGGGAAUAUGGGUCUCCUAACAACUCUCAGCACCGCUGACAAACUUCACUUCCUGUAAUUCUUGUGGGGGAGCUUUGUCUGUUUAAAGAGGUAUGAUACUGCUUUAAAUGAAUGGUAUGAAUGUGACCUUUCUCUUGUCCUAUUUCCAACUUGGGCUAUUGCUGAUGCAGAGCAGAUCCUAAAGGAAAGUCCUUUCCUAAGCUUGGUAGAGUGCCACUGAAACAUUGGAUAAAACUCCAUUCCAAAUGCUUCAUAAAUGUAUUAAACCCAAGAUAAAGCUAAUUGGGUACAUUGUCUGAAACUCUUGAUUCUUGUUCCUAGCCAUUCUUCAGGUUCAAAGGCACAUAUUGAUUCUGCCUGAUCUCAAAAGUUAACAAAAUUAAAAAGCAAUGAUACCAAGUUAGUGUGAUACUAGAAUUCAAUUUCUUCACUUUAUCCUGCCCACUAAUCAGCAAAAACUUUAUUUUUUGCCUGAAUGACUUUUCAAGGCUAAGAAUUAAGAACAUAAACUUUCUUCCAUCAUUGCCUAUGGCAAAAACAUUGCAGGGUUUAUGAACUGAAAUCUUUGCAAGCAAUAUAUAUGGAGCAAUGAUUGGUAUAUUGGAUCUGCUGUAGCCGUUUACUCAAAGCAUGGGUCAGAAACCACACAAUGUAUUUUUCUCAUGCUGUGUAUGUUUUAGGCACAACUCAUUCUGGUACCCUUUCCCCCUCAAAUUCCACAACUCUAUCUACAUCUACAUCUAUGUAAGACUCAGGAACUAACUUCAGAAGCUCUGUAACUGAGCUCUGCCUGUCAUUGGCUCAGGCUUCAGCUCCUAAUGGCUUCCAUUCUUCCAUGCUACCAGUUCCAAUGGGCAUUAGCUACUACUGUGUCUCUGAAUAUCAGUUUCUGGAGAAUGAAAGUGGGGAGAGUGGUUUCGCACUCAUGUCCAGCUUGUGGGCUUCCCAUGGGCAUCUGGUUGGCCACUGUGAAAAUGGGAUGCUGGACGUAGAGUGGAUGAGCCUCUGGUCUGAUCCAGCAGUGCUCAUUAUGCAUUCAAAAGGAGUGAUUCUGUUCUAAAGCAGAACUGGUCCAACUGAAGAAGGUUGAAACAAAAAGUUGCUUGGUUAGAUAGUCCCCUAGUCAAGGGCAAUCAAUGAGAUUUGUGCAAAACAAGGAGUUAAAAAUUAGUUACAUGUAUCACCUGGCUUGCUUGCUCCACUGCAUCCAACUAUUAUUGAUUAUUUUUGCAAACGAAUGUACCACUUGAGUAAAAUAGUGCCUGCACCAUCAAGCUCAUUUCUAUGUGAUCUGUCACUGAAAAUGGCCAAGAUCAUACCUAUUCAAAAUCUGAUUUUCAUAAUGAGGCAAAGCUCUGAGUAAUUCUAGUUUUGCAUGGUACUUCCUUGGGGAUUCAAAAUGACUGUCUGUAAUCCCCACCCCUUUAUAGAAUAGGAAAGUCCCCCCCUCUCAGAGGUUUCUGGAGUUUCACAGUCCCCCCCCCCCCACUUUUCUGACACCAGCAUUUUGUGGUCUUUUCCUCCCCCACAUUUCACACGAUGUGACAUUCCUGCCUGAAAUACAAACUGAACUCAGCAGAUCGUUUUGGACAUGGGCUGGCACCAAGCAUAUUGGCAACACUGACAACGAGGGGUAAACUUAAUAGGGAAAGACUUUCAAUGACUUCCCUAAAUAUGUAUCUUUUAUACAGACAAAAUGAAGAGGAGACAGAAAAUAAUAGUGUGAUGGCAAAACAUCCCCAGGCACAUAAAAAGCAAGCUCUGUGCUUGCUCAACUAUGUCAGUGUGGAAAUGUUUAUAAGAAGGGGGACAAUAACAGCCUACAUCAUGCUCUUGGCAUUUUGGACAUGCUCUAAACCCGGUGGAGGUUGGUGCCCAUUGGAACUAGUAGGGAGGGAGGCAGGGAGCCCAACAGUAGGGGGUGCCAAAACCAAUGACAGGCAGAGCCAACAAAUUCUAGUCUUGCUCCCAACCUCUUCCCUGCUGAGUUCUAGAAGGGGCAGUGCUGAGGCUGAGGAGCAGGAGGAAGCUGACAGCCAAUUCACCCCCUAGACUGGUUGUAAGGUUGGUAUCCACCAAAUUUUACUCAAGAGUAGGCCAGGGCUUUUUUCACUCCCUCUGUGUGUGUACUCAAAAGGGCACUUUAACCAUGCAAACUGAUGUUGUUAAUCUUCAUUUUAUUUAUUUAAAUAAAUAACACAUUGAAACGUAUUUUAAUAGUAAAUUAUUGUAUCUUAAAACACCUGUCAUUUAACAUGUAAUUAAAAAUGUCCAUGACAUUUUCCCCCCUUUUACAAAAUUCCAAUCAGCAUAAAUCUCUGCAACAGGCUGGCAUUGUCCCCUGUCCCUGUCUAAAAGAAUGGGGACAAUGGCAGGCCAGGGAUCAUAAUAGGCUGCACCAAUCCCAUUCAGGGCUAUUUUAGCUUAGCUUAGCUUAGUUUAUUUUAGUUUAUAUUUCUAUACCACUUUAUAUUUUUACCAAAAAAAAUCUCCAAGUGGUUUACAACACAUUAAAACAUCAAAUAAAACAAUCCAGAACACAAUAUUAUUGAAGGGAGUCAAAUAAGUAUGCAUUCAAAGUAACAUACUUAACAAGAAAAUAAAAUAUUAUUAAAACCAUAGAACAUAUCUGCUGCUGCUAAUCCUGCCAAUGGUGGUUCGUGUUGGCCGGUGGCUAUGGAAAUUCAGGCUCAACAACCUGGACCAGCAGUAAGCGACAGCCAAGAUGGCCUCUGGCCUCUUCAGCAGCCUCAGCUUCUGUUGCUGGUCCUUCCAGGCCAGACAGAAAAAGGCCUUCAAGACUGUGAGCGGGUCUUCCAGGACUCAUAGUCAAGAUGGCUUGUAUUACCAAGUCACCUGGUGUUUGCUGGUACAGAACUUAAGUCCUGCCUUUAGGUGCUCAAAUGUUUAGCUGUUUUUACCAGUUUGUGCUGUUGUACUGGUUCAUGUGUCACCCAUUAUAAGUUUAUGCAGAGACACAGUUCUUUCAGUUUGCAACCAGUGUGGUGAAAGAACUGCGACUGCUGUCAUAAGUUUUUGCACUGUGCCAGAAAUUAUGAGCAACAGCUGGCGAAGAUGCACAGAUAUUGAACAUCCUAAAUCACUCCUGUGUGGAAGAUGGGGCACUUCAGAAAUUAUUUACUAUUGCUCAUAUGCUUCCUUCCUUAGUUAGAUUUAAAGGUGCUAACAUAAAUUUCCAGACUAAAGGGAAGAUAUUGUUCCCCUCCCCCAGUUUGUUGACUUCUACAUAUUUUUUAUAGAAUGUGCAAUAAGGUGGAGAGCUUUUAAGUGGAUUAGGACCCAGGAGACCAGGAUUUAAUUUGCCAUGAAACUCAUGGAGAGAUCCUGGGUCAAUCACUGUCUCUCAGCCUAACUAGAGGGUUGAUGUAAAGAGAACAUGGUGAGAGGAAGAGCCACGAGUGCCACAAUGAGCUUCUUGGAAGCAAGGAAUUUAAUCUAAUAGUGAAUGCCUAAUAUAUCCAGACUAAUUGGUUUUGUCCCUUGGUUUUGCCUACCUCAUAGCAAUUGUCACAACUUUUGCAGUUUAGGCUUUGGAUACAUUUUAGUCUUUGGUGGAGUUUCUGCCUGCCCUUCCAGACUGCAGGAGUAUCCCAUUAAAGUUGCUCCUGUCCAGGCACCCAGGCAGGGGCAAAGGCCAUAGCAUUCCUCAAGGCAGCAGUCCCAUGAAGGCUUUCCUCCUUGUCCUAGCACCCUUUUGCCCUGGGCUGACCCCGAAAAGGGAUACCCCAGCAGGUGGGCUACUGGUUCAAUAGUUAUACUCAAUGCCUAUGUAAAACCUCUACAUUUGUAAUCAAUAAAUCUGUGGUCUGAUUUGACCCAGAGUAAUGUUGUCCUAAACUAAGAUGGCCACUGGUCCCAUCACCUCCUGGCAAAUAGAAGGGGAAGAAAUGGAGGCACUGAGAGAUUUUACUUUCUUGGGCUCCAUGAUCACUGCAGAUGGUGACAGCCGUCACGAAAUUAAAAGAUGCCUGCUUCUUGGGGAAAAAGCGAUGACAAACCUAGACAGCAUCUUAAAAAGUAGAGACAUCACCUUGCCGACAAAGGUCCAUAUAGUUAAAGCUAUGGUUUUCCCAGUAGUGAUGUUUGGAAGUGAGAGCUGGACCAUAAAGAAGGCUAAUCGCCAAAGAAUUGAUGCUUUUGAACUGUGGUGCUGGAAGAGACUCUUGAGAGUCCCAUGGACUGCAAGAAGGUCAGACCUAUCCAUUCUGAAGGAAAUCAGCCCUGAGUGCUCACUGGAAGGACAGAUUCUGAAGCUGAGGCUCCAAUACUUUAGCCACCUCAUGAGAAGAGAAGACUCCCUGGAAAAGACCCUGAUGUUGGGAAAAAUUGAUGGCACAAGGAGAAGGGGACGGCAGAGGACAAGAUGGUUGGACAGUGUUCUUGAAGCUACCAGCAUGAGUUUGACCAAACUGCGGGAGGCAGUGUAAGACAGGAGUGCCUGGCGUGCUCUGGUCCAUGGGGUCACGAAGAGUUGGACAUGACUAAAUGACUAAACAACAACAACAAAUGUCCUGUCUGGGAGUCAGACAUCAGGAGCGGGAGUGCCUGACCCAUGCAAGUUCCUAUCAGAACAAAAUAUAAUCUAACAUUUAAGAGUUGGGAGGGCUAUGCUGGCUGAGGCCAUGUCCCACUGAACUCAGUGUGGCCAAAGUCUGAGCAGACAUACAUAGGAUUGCAUGGCUGAGAAUUCAUUUUUCAGCUUUAAUUGGCUCAGUUUAGAUGCUUCCACACUACACCAUUUGAAUGCUGGUUUUUCCAUUAGUGAUUGUCUCUGCUGCCAAGGUAUGCAUCUCAUUCAUCUGAUGCCAGGAAUUGCUGCAGAAGCCCUGCAGCUCUGGAGGGUAAAGAUGAAUUUGUCCUAAAUGUCAUAUCUGGGUUUCAUGAAAUGUGCACUUCUGUGUUAAGGGAGUAACGGAAUGGCAUGACAAUGCAAUGAUGUAUGCAGAGAGAGCUCUGUUUCUGCCCAGGGAUUUUGAAUAAGUGUGCUUGCAUCACCCAUAUAUCGUAUUAGCAAUAAAAAAAGACUACCAAUAUACAUCUCAAAUUGAGACCUUGAGUAAUCAAAGUGAGAGGAUUUCCUGAGCCUUCAUUUGGGAACUUCUUCAGUUAACGUGCUUCUGGGGCGACUGUGUAAUUGGUUGACAUUUACAAAUUGAUGUGGGUUUCUGUUGUAAGGCUUGAGUGGCCUGAGAUCCUUCAGUACCUGUGUAAGCAAACAGAAACAUUAAGAUGACCUUGACCUCCCAAUUGGAGGGAAGCAGGAGAGACCUUUAUUGCUGGCAUUUGUGCUCACGCUGGGCAACAGCAACUCCUGAUGUGAAAAGAUCACACUGAACGUUUGCUGAGGUAAGCAUAUGUAGAAAGUUUGUGCAUCUUAGUUCACAGCUGCCUUCCUUGGCCUUGAUCUGGAGCUGAUGUUUGAUCAUUGCAGCAGGGCUGAGCAUCGCGCAGAAGAAGAAGAAAGUGAUCAGAGAGGGAAGAUCACAGGAUUGGGCUGCAGAGCUGCUAUAUUUGCAUUGUGUGUAAAAUGGCUGCUGAAGGACACCAGCAGCUUCUCUUCGAGCAGUGAUUGAUGUAUGUUAACAGAGGACCAGCCAAUCACACUAGAGGUACCUUCAAAGCUCAAACAAAUAAAUCCGCCCAUGCCCUUUCACAAAUGAGCCUCCCAGCUUUUCUUUUUAAAAAAAAUAUGUGUUAUGUCUCUCCAUGGCAAUGAUAUCUGCGAUCAAUUUGACAGAGUGACAAGGAAGGAAUAAAUGUCACCCAAAUGGGCCUUUGUUUAUGUAUUACGACAGCUGAAAACAUGUGCUGAAUAUUGGAGCAAGCAUGAGCAUGGAUUUUUGCAUCAUGAGCUCUGGCCUCAGCUAAAAUAACCUGGGUGGGGGAUCACACUGUUGGAUGCGGGAGUAUUCAGCUUUUAUUUUCUUUUUUUAGUUUACAGCAGGCAUAGGCAAACUUGGCCCUCCAGAUGUUUUGAAACUACAAUUCCCAUCAUCCCUGACCACUGUUAGCUAGGGAUGAUGAGAGUUGUAGGUCCCAAAACAUCUGGAGGGCCAAGUUUGCCUAUGCCUGAUUUGCAGAAUGAAGCUAUGGGCUUUAAUGUCUGACUCUAUAGCAGAGCUCAUGAAACAGCUUGCAACCUGUUGUCAUGAUUUUUUGUGGGGAUAAAUGCUCACCCACCAUUAUUUUUCCAUCUCUGUACCAUAGCUUUCGGGCUGAACACUAAACCAACUAUAUUCUACCAAGAGUAGACCCACUGGAAUUAAUGGACCCAAGUUAGGUAAAUGUAAAGGGACCCCUGACCAUUAGGUCCAGUCGUGACCGACUCUGGGGUUGCGGUGCUCAUCUCGCUUUAUUGGCCGAGGGAGCUGGUGUACUCUGGCGAACCAGAGCAGCACACGGAAACGCCAUUUACCUUUCCGCCGGAGUGGUACCUAUUUAUCUACUUGCACUUUGACGUGCUUUUGAACUGCUAGGUUGGCAGGAGCUGGGACCGAGCAACGGGAGCUCACCCCGUCACGGGGAUUCGAACUGCUGACCUUCUGAUCGGCACCCACGUCCCAGACCCAAGUUAGUUUUGUCCAUUAAUUUCAGUAGUAUGAACAACCGGCAUGCCAUAUGGAAAUCCUUGGCACAUGCUUAUUUUAAUGUUGGGUACAUAUUUCAACCAGCAUUAAAAUUGGUAAUAUACAGAGAAGACGGUGAUUAGAAACAAUACCAGUAGGUGUGUGGGAGAAGUUUGAGAAAUUCAUGGGAUGAGCAUUGGCUCACCAAAUAUGACAGAUAAUGUGAUAGAAGGCAGGAAUUUAUUUCGUUUCAUUUAUAGAUCACUUCCUGUGAAGCAUCCCAAAGCAACUUCACAAAAUAAUAAUAAUAAUAAUAAUAAUAAUAUUAUAUAUAUAUAUAUGUGUGUGUGUGUGUGUGUACACACACACACACACACACACACACACACAUACAAUUCCAUAUAUAACAACAGUUAAAACAACUGCAUAUAUUAAAAAUCAUGAAAAACCAUAACAUAUACUGUAUGAAAAAAAUUUCAAAUCUAAUAAAGAUGCCGAGUGGGAUAAAAAUCAGGUGCUCCUUGAAAAUAGCUGCAUUGUACUCAAAGUAAAAUGCAGCGCUCAAAGAGAAUCACUCUUAAAAUAGUUUAAACCUUCACUUUCAGCACAUUAAUAACUUACCAUCACUGUCAGGGUUGUCUCAUUCAUCAUGCUGAGUUGUGAAAAGAUGUGUUAAAUUUCACAGGGAUCUUCCAGAUUUUGGGGAGGCAGAGUGAAGAAGAGGGAAGGCUCAAACCUGGUAGUGUUAGAACUCUUCCUGGAACAUCAACGCAGAUCCUUCUAAUAUAUGCAGAGUCCAUUGCCCUCCCUUCUCAUGAACUCCAUUCUAUGUUCACAAACCUGGGAUCUGAAGGAAUGCCAAAAGGUUUGACUUUUACAGACUUGCAACUUGACAUUUCUGUUGGUGCCACCGAGGGACUACACAAGCCAUGUCCUACCGUUUAUAAAAAUGAAAUGAAAUAAAUCACAGACAACUUGCAGAAUCCAUGAAAUAGCCUUGCCCAAUUUUUGACACCCACAAGUGGAGCAGCAAAUUUCAGAGACAAAGCACAUUUGUACUGUAACGCAGCUGAAAAGAUUGAGCCAACGACAUGGUCUGAGAUGCAAUGUUUAAAGGCCUGCCCAGAUUAGAAUACAAGAAAACAGCAGUCAGUUAAAUGAGGUUUUAUAUUUAUACACUGGUGGGUAAAGUAAAAACGGGUGGGAAAGUGCACAAACUUGAGAGGAUGAGCACAGGCCAGGCUUGCAACCCUUCUCACACUCUGCAUUUCAAUCACAGAGGCUGGGAUUUGAACAGGUGGAACCCACCUGUCAAUCAUGUGACACCAUGAUUACAACAUCAACAGUUAUGUAAAAUUGCAGUUGGCCCAUAGGGUUCUCCAUCCCUGGUCUAAUGGGUUAGUAUGUAGAGGUGAGGUCUAGAGGGCAGCUGGCUGGCUGGUGGGACAGGUUUUUGGUGAGGUUGGUGAGCAAUGCAAGCUUGGGCAGAACCCGGAGUGAAUACAUAAAUGGCAGGUAGUUCAUUUCUGAAAUGGAUGUUUUGCAACAUGUAAAAGAGAAAUAACUGAGCCAGGAAUGAAAUGUUAUUGUAGGCAUGCAGCAUGGGAGGAGCUGUUCAACAGUGAAGCAGAUGACCUCUGAAGGUGGCAAAUUCUCCUUCCUUGGAGGUUUUUAAGUAGAGGUUGGAUGGCCAUCUAUCAGGGAUUAUUUAAUGGCAAUUCCUACAUGGCAAGGGGUUGGACUAGAUGGCCCUUGGGGUCCCUUCAAACCCUACAAUUCUACAUUGCUAUGACUUCCGGGAGCAUGGCUACCUUAUUUCAGCUGAUGACUAUUCAACCAAAAUCGUAUGUUUUAUGUUUAUAGCACCUUGCCUGUGAAAUGGAUACACUGGGAUGACCUACUUUGGGACAGGUCCACCAAUAAGAACUAUUGCUUUUCUAGAAGAAAAGGAGACAAGUUUGGUGCAAGUGUCAAACAUGGGUCAGACGCACUCUUCCAAAUCAUCUAAAACUUACACAGUUUCACCGUUUACAUCCCAAACUCUCCAUGAUGUAGUUAAAGAGGACAGCUUCAGUGUAUGUUCUUCCUAGGAUAUAUGCUGCUUUUCAUCUUAUCCACGCAAGGUAAAAACUAGAUCAGUGCCCCCAUGUGUCAGUGGUCAAACAGGAGCACGUGCACAGCUACAGACUCCUGUAGAAUAUUUGCACUUGCUGUUCAAGCUCUGGGCCAUCUCUUUGUCAAUGCUCUGGUGACAACCCAUGCUUUCCUCCUUAUAUUUUGACAGCGAAGGGCAUAAUCACUCUGUUUUAGCAUAGCCAAUAAGGUUAGCAUUUCAAAGAGAAUAUUUACAUUGUUAUCAAGACAAUCAAUUAUGUAAGAAAGGAGAGGGGAAGAGAGAUAGACAGCCAUGGCUGAGCCCUUCUUUUGUGCUGCUGCAGUCUUCAAGCUUUAGUGCCUUAAGUUUUCUGUAAAGGGGCCAGCACUUCUAAAAAUGAAGAUGGAAAGGAUAAGCCUCCAUGAUUGCUCUAAAGGGCCCAGAGGACAAUACCAGACUGUUGUGUUCUCUCAUAGCUGGCUGUUUGAUUCUGACUCAUUCUGCUCUUUUCCCUGUGGAGGCAAGUUUGACAGCUCAGCCGUUCCUAUCAGCAGGAGGACAAGGCUCUGGAAAAAGAAAUCCAUAACUAUAUACAAUUAUCUUCUCUUUUAUCCUUGCUCAUCUCUUGCUUUAGUUUACACAAGUUUUGUUAAACCUCCAUCUAUUUUCUGAAAUUAUUUGCUUACUAUUUUUUUGUGGGGAACUACUCCAGCUGAAUCUUUACUUCCAACAGAUCCGAGAAGACUUGCAAUUUAGCAAUUUAUGCAUGCUCCAUUAGGGUUUUGCCAAAUGCAAGAGAUCUUUUGGAUUCAGCAGCAAUGACACCACCAGUGGAGAGAAGUUCAGUGCUUCUAUUAAGUAAUACAGAAUUCAGAACAGAGAUACAGUCAUUAAGUAGAAUAACAUAACAUAAGCAAGAUAAGAUACUUCCCCCAUUUGAUUAUCAGGAGCUCCAGGAAAUAACAACAGAAUGACUCCAGCUGACCAGCACACAGAACUCUGUCAGUCUGCGGCUUCAGUGAAGUCUGAAAGCCAGACACCGUCUGAGAGAUUUUUAUCUUUCAGACCCUUAGUGACAACUUGCUGUCCUGAUACCUAAAUUCCUCCCACCUGUUCCACAAAUCAUUCUUGGGAUGGAGUGAGGGAUGUUACAUAACCUGUCAGGUAGGUCAAAUCCUCCCAACACUUAUCCCUGAAACACGAACAGUAAAUCAAGACAAUAAAGCAAACAAAAACCCCUCAACAGUCCUAAAGGGUAUAGCCAAUAAGCAAGGAGGAAUAAUGGUACAGACCACUUAAGCUAUUUCUCUGAAAUACAAAGUUCUUCUGCAAUGGGUUUCUCCCAUAAUUACCAAAAUAUUUCACUAGGGCAAUAUCAUAUCACUUUGCUUGAUAGAAGUACCUCAGUGAACAGCCACCAUAUCCUUAGCAGCUGGUGUGGUGGUGCUGUGGGUGGACUUUGUUGCAAACCUAGCUUCCCAACAUGUCACUACCAGUUACUGAGCGGAAGGGGGCAACAGGGAGCUCAGCACAGUGCUGGCACAGCAUUAACUGGCUCCAUUGUUGUUGUAUCAGUUGGUGUGCAACGUUUGGAAGCCAGGUCAGCCAUGCAGCCAUGUACUGCCAUGACAGCUGUUCUUGUCCUAUAACAAGACAUGGCAGCUGUUUUUUGUUAAAACAGUUCUAUAACAAAUAAAUCCCAGUGAGUUAAAUGCUAAGGGUAUGCAUAAGACCGCAGCAUAUGUGUUUAAAUGCUGGAAAAUAUGCAUUACACUCUUCUUUCAUUUUUAAAAUAAUAUUCGCUCUGCUCUAUUUCUUUCCUCUGAAAUGUAGCUAAAUAAUAUUGAAAGCUGUCUGGUUAAGAUGCAGGCUGAAAUCUCAGCUAGGCCUAAUUGCAUUGGUUUCAAGGUAAAGGAUCAUUCAUACAGUGUCAGGACUUUUAAAACAGGAAGGGGAAACUCAGGACGGCAGCCCAAAGCAGCCGCCCAGCCUUCUGUGUCUGCUCCUCAGGAUACACUUCUGGCUCUAGGUCUUCUGCCUUGCCAGCCCUGUUCCACACUAUGAGAGUGUUUUCCUGGCUGGAAUGUGUCCUUGAACUUUUGAUUGCCUGGAUGCAGGAUAGAGAGGGGGUGUGUGUGUGUAUGUUUGUGUGUAUACAAACUAAUCUGCUCUGAAAAGGUAAAAUUUACAUUAAUUACUCCACCCGCUUGGCCUCUGGUCCUGUCCACCACCCGCAUGUGGCCCCUGAAAGCUUGCACAGAACGGAAUGUGGCCCUCGGACUGAAAAAUACCCCCCAAUUCCUUUUUUUUAAAUCAUAAUGAUGGAGGACUCUUUCUGGCAGACUGCUAUCAGGCCAUGUCUACCUGGAGUAGAUCUGAAGCCAGGACACAAAGAGUAAAGUAAGCCAAGAGUAUAAGUGCCCACUAUUACCAUGUAGACACAAGUUCUUGAGCCUGAUCAUUCUUUUCCAGUCGAAACUUACAGCUCUUAUAUAUUAUUUGCCUCGUAUUUUAAAAAACAUUUAAAACCUUCUCUGUGACUAAUGUACUUCCAUAUGCCAAGGAUUAAAGAGUCAUUUGGUGCAAUACAAUUGGUCUCUGCUGCAUUCCAAUUAAUCUUUUAUAACUAAUUCUUCUUUGGGUUUAAAGAUUUGCAUUAGCUUGGAUCAUGUUUAAGGUUUUGCAGGUAGCUUGCUCUAAUAUAUAGGCCAUCAUCUCAAUUUGUUUUACUGGAUCAACAAGUCAUAUUUCCAAUAUGUUUAUAUAUUGUUUCAUUUGGCUUUCCUCUGUAAAAACCACUCAGUGAGAUUUUGCAGUCACUGAAAUUCCAGUGCCUUUUUAUUUUUUAAGGAUGAAGUGUGAUUUAGAUUGACAAAUAAUUUCAGGUGGGAAAGCUUGUGUAAUUUCUGAGUGGAGCACCACACUUUAAACUUUAAUUCUUCAGAAACAGGUGCCGGUAUCAAAGAGCAAAUCUGUAAUGGGGUCAUCUAAAAAGCAUUGCAACAGCAGAUAUGACUAAGAAUCUUGCUCUUCUGUUAUUAUCUUACCAAGCCAACUAUUCUUAUUAUUUUUCUGCGGUCUUCACAUUUGAUUGCCUAGUUGAAAACUGAACACUGAAGACACAAGUAAAAUAUUCUGACCUCUUUAUUGACUGCUUGACUGCUCUUUCAAAGUCAUUGAUUAUUUUGACAGGAAAAUUAACACUGGGUUUCCUUUCAUAUCUCAUAAGUUAGGUACCUUGUAAAAAUUACUCUUCUGCUAUGAACCGAUGGGAAAGUGGUCUUUCUGAUACUACAGCUAAGUUUUAAAAGGUACCUAAGACAGUUUGAUUUUCAGUGCCCUGACCACCAGCUUUACCUCUGGAAUGGAUUUUUUAGAAACAUAGUUUUCUUUCUAUUUGCAUUAAUAAUAUGUAUUCAUUUUUGGUAGCAGUUUCAAAAAUUAUGAAAAGCUAAUGAGCACUCCCAUUCUUUUGCACCUAGCUUCUGAAUAUGUAAAUGAUUAAACCAGGCCUAUGGAACUUGUGCCCCACCAUGAUGAACACAGCUUGCCAGUCCUGUAUCCCAAGCCAUCAGAGCUGGACAAGAAUCCUGUUUUUGCCACUUGACUAAAACUGUAAAGAUGGGAAGCGAGAUUGUCAAGCAUAGCCAGGAUGUGUAGCUGGUGGAGUGUUGCAAUUUGUGCAGGCCUGUUAUAAAAGUAUUUACAUUCACCGGUCUAUGAAGGCUCUGGUACACAGAACUCUGUGUUGUGUGAAAAGAUCUGUUGAAGACUGAUGGAAAUAUGAAACUGCCAUUCAACUCUGAGCCUUUCAGCACUAAUUCUCUAAACAAGAAGGCAGCGGAUAAUACAUGUGGUAAACUGUAUCCAUUUCAUCAUCAACUAAAUGUAGUCCACACAAAAAAAUGUCUUCAAGCUUAAAAAGACUUUAGCAGCUUUUUACACACCCUCUGAAAACUAAAUAUGAUAUAAGGUAUAUAUAAAUACCAUUUUGCUAUCAUAAUGCUAGUCCAUGUUUAGAUUUAUGGUUGCAAUCCAGAAUGUAUAGGUGAUUAUUGGGACAGUUGUGCCCUAGACGCAGCCAGACCCAUUUGAGUCAAUGGAAAUGUUGCCUCUCUUUUGAGAACGGAUAGAAUAUGAAACCAGCUCAUUUUGACAAGAGGUGGAAACUGAAAAGUGAAGUUGGUUUUAAUUGCAUUCUCAUGUAGUUUUCAAGUGGGUAAUCUUUCAUAUUCAUGAUUAAAUACCUUGGCACUCAGGUCUACAGACAAGUCAAUUAAAUAUAUAUAACAAAAUAUGGUAAGGUCAGGAAGACAUGGGAAGCAUAAAAAGAAAAAUACAUUUAUGAGAUAAAUAUUUUAAAAGAAGAUAGAUGCUUUUCUUUCCUCUUUUAGACACAGUGACACUUCAGCAGACAGGAUGGAUAGAAAGCAAUGAUUUUUAAAACAACAACAGGUAUAAAUGGAUUUUAAAUAUUUUAUUGGACUUCUUUUGGGGGGCAAAUCAGUUAUAUUACCCAUCCCUUUAAAAUGACCUGGUUUAAAAUCACAUUUUAAUACAAACUAACUAGUUAAAGUCUUCCCCUUCAAAUUUUAUUAAAAUCUAAUCCAUAACUAGCAGGCAUAAUGGGAAAAGGAGGAAUUUUUUUUUGCUGAUUUUGGUUUGGUACUGUAGGCUCCCAGGGUCCUCAUAAAAUCUGGAGACCUGGAGGAACAACAGGCAACACAGAAGACAGGGGCAUGGCUUGGGGGGGGCAGGGGGACUGUAGUCCCAGGUACACGAUUUUAAGGGGGCAUGAACCAGGCACCCCCACGCAGGGAUAACCAUCCUGCCCUGCCUGCUGUUGGGGGGUCUCUAAGUUCCCUUAAACAUGCAGGGACAAUAUAAAGUUAUAUGCAUUAUCAAAUUUGUAUUUUCCCAAACAAUAUGCAAACUGAAACAUAGCUGUCCUUCAAAACUCACAAUCUGAAUUUUGUGACACAGUUCUCCAACUGAACAACAAAUGCUUACACUGAACAAAAAUGUUUAUAUUAGGGGGAAGUGUGCAUUAAAAUGUCUAUAUCAGUGAAAAUAACAAGCAAAAAUGCAUUCUAUUAGGAGAAAGUGCUUGCAAAAAUGUGUACAAUUUGGCAAAACUGCAUAAAAAUGCAUUUAUUAAGAGAAGUUCACACUAAAAUGCUGAAGAAUUUUCCUGACAGUUCUUUGUUUGUUUGUUUUCCAAAUUGCUGCAGAAAUGUGGACAACAUAAUUUAAGUUUGGGAGGGAAAUGAGAAACAGAGAACUGACAUAGGCAGAUCCUUCCAUUUCUAGUUAAGACAGCAGGCUUUUGGGCAGAAGGAUGUUUCCAUUUCAAGAUGUCGUGAAAAUUGUAUUUUUAAAAGUUUACCAAAUCUACUACUUGUUCCUUAGUUAUUAAUUAAGUCAGCUAGCUAAUUGUUCUCAGAGACACUGCUAAGUUAAUAACAUUAGAAAACAAAAUUUCAAAGUCCGGGAUUUGAUUGAUAGCUUAUUUUUGAAAAAAAUAUAUUUAUUAUUGUAGAUUUUUGAGACUCUGGGCUUGGAUCGAUGUUGCUGUUGUUAUAUAUGGAAUAUUGAUGCACUAAAUUUACCCCAUAGCUACAAAAGCUCCCAUUUGAGGUUCUCAAUAACUAGGAGUGUUUAGAAAAACCUAUUUAUCAUCUCUCAUUCUUGUGAAGCAACUUUGCAAUAGUUGGUAAAUUUCCACAGGAAAGGCCAAUUGAAAUCACAUUAAUCCAGAUGCUUGGAAUUAUAAAUGGUGAAUCCAAUUCCUGCAGUGAAAGGGAUGUGUAUUCACACACAGUCCCUAUCAGUUCAAGGCUUCAUUCUGAGUGAUUUCCAAUGCAAUUCGUUCCAGACCAAAGAGUUUAAGGCCAGAAGCAAAUGUCUUUUAAAUUUCAUUUGAUUAAUGUCCCUUGCAAAACUAUUUGUCACCUCCACAGGCAUCCACAUGUUUUUCUUGUAGGCACAUUUUCUCUGUAGUGUAUUUGGAAAGAGCUGGUGCCAGUCAAGCCAUUUCCCACAAAUGCUGUUAGGCCGUUAUGUGACUACCAUUCAACAUGUUACUUUGUUUAACCGGAAUUAAAUGUCAGACUUCUAGAUAAUGUAGGUUUUCCUUUUAUUUUAAAAAUUUAACUAACUCUGAUAUAUUACAGCAGGGAGUCCUGAUUUAAUUGGACUACUUUUCUCCAAAGGAAAGUCAAAAAUUAACAAGGUUAUAUGAGACUUUUCAAAAUCAACUCCCUAUUUUCCCAAUUACCCAUUUUCUUCUUGAAGUUUGUCAAAAGAUGCUUCCUGUCCAAUACAUGUUUCAUGGAAAGAAACAAGCCAAACUGCAAAUCAUAUUGGAUACUAGGGGCUGCAUACUUGCUUAUGCUGUUCUCCAACUCCACCUGCUCCCCAGUCCCCCUAUGGCAGGCAUCCCCAAACUCGGCCCUCCAGAUGUUUUGGGACUACAAUUCCCAUCAUCCCUGACCACUGGCCCUGUUAGCUAGGGAUGAUGGGAGUUGUAGUCCCAAAACAUCUGGAGGGCCGAGUUUGGGGAUGCCUGCCCUAUAGUAACACCAUAAGCCUUUCCCUUCCCACUACUAAGCCUCCUUUUCGCCUUUCCAACCCCAUGUCUGAAACUCCUUCUCGCUUCUAUUCUGCAGCCCCCUUGCACCCUCGUAUUCAGUUUCACCCCAAUUUCUAUGCAUGUUCCUCCCCCAUCUUUUUAUGCCAUCUUCCCAUGCACACAGACAUCAUAAGUUCCUGGAUAUUUCUCACCUCACACAUUGCAACACCUAAGCUCCCUUUUCACCUUCCCCCAAUUCUGAAGCACCCACUCUUUCUUAUUUUGCAGUUCCCUUUCUAUUUCUGUUUUUAUCUUCAGUCCCAUUCCCACCCCUCCUCUUCUUCUUUUCCCGCUGCAUCAAGAAAGCCAGCAUAAUCCUAGCUCACACCACCCCUCCUCCCAGCUCCCUCUGUUAUCACUAUGAUAUCCCCACCCCUUCCUUUUCAUACAAACAUGGAGAUCUCUCUGCCUCCCACAGCCCCCUUCAGGAAGCCCGCUUUAAUCCCACUCCCCACAUUUCCACCAGCCGUGUGGUCUGUGCAGAAGCAUGUGUGUCCCAAGAGGUAGCCUUCAAGAGAGCUAUUCAGCCAAAAGACAGUGGGGUUGCUGAUUGCCUGAGCCAACAGAGCUUACUGGACUAGAGUGAAGACCACAGCAGAAGUCCUUCUAGAAGCAUGAGAAAUUCAACCGUGAAGGCUGCACAUUGAGUCCUCAGAACCUACUUGAUGAGCAUUCCCUGGUAGAAGUGGUUGAGGGAAAUUGGCUAUAGGGUUUAAAUUGACAGAGGAACUGACUCUCUCACAUCUCCUUAAAAGAAACAGUUACCUCAAAGUGUAACUAUUAUCAACAGUCACCAAGUGAAGUUCAGUGGUAACUAAGUGAAAGUCAACAAUCAAACGUCACCAUCUGUUUAUAAGAACAAUUAUUUUAAAAUAAAAUAUAAUUGAUUUUGUUCUCACUUCAAAGUGGAAUCUAUGCUGUUUUGCCCCAUGCUUAUCCAUAGCUCCAAGUAGGUAAAUUGAGGCAUAAAAUUGAUGAUGAUGAUGAUAAUAAUAAUAAUAAUAAUAAUAAUAAUAAUAAUAAUAAUUUAUUAUUUGUACCCCGCCCAUCUGGCUGGGUUUCCCCAGCCACUCUGGGCGGCUUCCAUAGAAACCAAAGAUACACUAAAAUAUCACAGAUUAAAAACUUCCCUGAACAGGGCUGCCUUAAGAUGUCUUCUGAAUGUCAGGUAGUUAUUUAUCGCUUUGACAUCUGAUGGGAGGGCGUUCCACAGGGCAGGCGCCACUACCGAGAAGGCCCUCUGUCUGGUUCCCUGUAGCUUUGCUUCUCGCAAUGAGGGAACCGCCAGAAGGCCCUUGGCGCUGGUCCUCAGUGUCCGGGCAGAACGAUGGGGGUGGAGACGCUCCUUCAGGUAUACUGGGCCGAGGCCAUUUAGGGCUUUAAGGGUCAACACCAGCACUUUGAAUUGUGCUCGGAAACGUACUGGGAACCAAUGUAGGUCUUUCAAGACUGGUGUUAUGUGGUCUCGGCGGCCGCCCCCAGUCACCAGUCUAGCUGCCGCAUUCUGGAUUAGUUGUAGUUUCCGAGUCACCUUCAAAGGUAGCCCCACGUAGAGUGCAUUGCAGUAAUCCAAGCGGGAGAUAACUAGAGCAUGCACCACUCUGGCGAGGCAGUCCGCGGGCAGGUAGGGUCUCAGCCUGCGUACCAGGUGGAGUUGGUAGACAGCUGCCCUGGAUACAGAAUUGACCUGCACCUCCAUGGACAGCUGUGAGUCCAAAAUGACUCCCAGGCUGCGUACCUGGUCCUUCAGGGGCACAGUUACCCUAUUCAGGACCAGGGAGUCCUCCACACCAGCCCGCCCCCUGUCCCCCAAAAACAGUACUUCUGUCUUGUCAGGAUUCAACUUCAAUCCAUUAGCCGCCAUCCAUCCUCCAACCACCUCCAGGCACUCACACAGGACCUUCACCGCCUUCACUGGUUCUGAUUUGAAAGAGAGGUAGAGCUGGGUAUCAUCUGCAUAUUGAUGGACACCCAGUCCAAACCCCCCUGAUGAUCUCUCCCAGCAGCUUCAUAUAGAUGUUAAAAAGCAUGGGGGAGAGGACGGAACCCUGAGGCACCCCACAAGUGAGGGCCCAGGGGUCUGAACACUCAUCCCCCACCACCACUUUCUGAACACGGCCCAGGAGGAAGGAGCGAAACCACUGUAUAACAGUGCCCCCAGCUCCCAGCCAUCUAGAUUCAAUCUAGAUCUGGCAUCUAGAUUCAUAGGGGCAGCAGGAAAAAGAUUUUAAGGAUAAGUGAAAGGUUAUAGCUUUAGGAAAGAUGCAAACACUGCUUUACAAGACACCCCUCCAUAAAUAAUAGCAAAAUAAAUAGUUAAUGAAGGACAGGUGGGGUCACCAAAAUGUGGUAGCAAUGGGGUGGGAUGACCACAGAUUUGGGUGGAAUCAGAUUCUCCACAUACUGCAACUCCCAUCAGCCAACCUGUGCAAUAAUCAGGGCUGAUUCUAGUUGUAGUCCAACAAUAUAUGAGAGAUGACAGAUUAGCCCCCCUGCUUUACAGUAGACUGAUUUGCAUCGUAUUGUCACAAUCUUCACUGAUUAGUUUCCCCAUGCCUGCCUUUUGCCUGCUGUGACUGACCAGGGAUGUGGUCAGUGUGAAAGUCUGUUUCUGUUACCAGUGGAUAUGAGACAUCCUAAAAAAAAGUACUAAUCCCAUCUGUUGCUCUUUCUUUUCUUUCUUCAUUUCCCCAAAAGCAAAAUAAGGCACAUGGUUGAACCUCAGAGCCAAGCCAGUACGUGACUGACUCCAUUUUGAAAUAACCUGAGACAAAGUGUUUUUGGAACUUAGGUAACUUUAUGGGACUCUGCUAGCAAUAGCACCUUGGCCAAUCAGUGCAGAAAGUCAAUUUUGGCAAAAUAAGCUUGCACUUUGUUAUUUUUUGUCUGCCCUUUUUUUCCUCUAGAAACUGCUUCUGUACCGAUAGGAAUUAUCUCUCUUUGGGUGUCAGAGUGUUGAAGCCGCAUUUGAAGAUAAGAGCCUGCCUUAGACUGCACAGUCAGUUAGACACUUUCUUGAAAGGACUUCAUGACCAAAGUGGCAAAGUUGAAGGAAAGGACAAUGUAGUCCUAAUCCUUAAAGCAGUUUUUCCCCACCCUGUGUGUUUAUUUGGGGGCAUCAAUAUUGGCCAUAACAAAUAUGGUGGUGGAAGAUCACCAUUGUCCCUUUAAAUUUAUUUUUAUUAUUGUUAUCUUAAGGGGAAUGGCUGUGAGAGCAAAUGCAGAACAUUAGGAAACGCUGCUGUUUGGCUCUGUGCCUAACACGUUAGGAGUGGAGGUAGAACAUGGCCAUUGUGGCUAGUAGGCACUGAUAGUCUUAUUCUCCAAAUUUUCCCCAUCCUCUUUUAAAGCUCCUUUCAAAGCCCAUUAGCUGUUCCUGACACCUUGCCUAUGCAAAGUCUUUGUGCUGCAACUGAGUGGUGGUCCUCCCCAGCAGUCAAAUUAAAAUAUAAGGCAGUGCCAUAUGUUCCUUAAGAAUAAUUACCACAAAUUAUGCAUGUGAUUUAAGCACCACUACUCUGUCUCUCUUCUGACCAAAUCAGCACCAUCAUCAUCAACCUGGGUUACCACUGAUAAACAAAUAUUGAAAUAAAAUCCCUGUCCAUCUGACGAUUACAGAUCAGGAGGAAUAUCUUGGUAAAACCCAUACAUUUGCUAUUAGCAGAGAACAAUGCUCACCCAAUAUAUCUCCGUUAUUCAUUUCCAUGGUAAUUGAGGUGUUGUGUAUUUGUUUAACGUUUGUUUAGUGGCAAUAAAAUUAAAACUCACAUAACUGCUAACUAAUUGGGAAGAAACAGUGAAAUGGAAAUUAAGGUUUUAAAAAAGGUGUUCCUUUACCUACCCACCAAAGUUUGAAUCUUUCUUUCUUUCUUUUUUAUAAAACCUGCCAUGGACUAUUUUUUCAUGCUCUUGAGCUAAUGAAUAGGGAGCGCUGAGGAAGAUCAAGCUCUGCCAUAAAAUAAUGAGGUUGUUUCAUCCAAGAAGGCACUAUCCCCCCCCCCCCCCCGAAGCUGCUGUCUACCUCCUGCUAUGUGAUGUAUGGAGCAAAGCUGGCACUGGUGCUACGCUGAGAAGCAGAAGAAAUGAAAUUGUUUUAAUCUUGUGGACCAUUCCUUUUAAUCAUCUCCUCAUCUCUUUCCCUUUUGUCAGACAGGACUUAAACUGGGGGUAAUUUGUUUGGUUGGCUUAUCUGCAUCGUAAGCUAACCUAGCAAGCACAAGACAAAUGUCCCGUAAAACAGCUGGAUUCGUCUUUGCUUUGAAAGUCUACACCCCCAUUUUAUGCAGUAAACGUUCCCUGCUCUUACUGCCAACUUUGUUUGUGGACAUUGAUCACAAGGCAAGGAGAGCCUUCUUCCGUGGCUUUCCAUAGCAUUUUUAAAAACAAAAAAUGGCAACCUUCGGCCGUAUUAGUGGUGCAUCAUUAUGCACAGUGCUGAGAAAGUGUAUACAGUGAGGUUUUUCACCUGCUGUCAUAGUACUAGAAGCUAGGGUCAUUCGAUGAAGCUGAAUGGUGGGAGAUUUAUAGUAGAUCAAGAAUUUCUGCUAGAAUUGUGUUGCUUCCCACUGUGGAGGUGGCAAAAAGGGUUUGGCCCAAGGGCUUCAAUCACCCUUUACUCACUUUCUAGGGGUCACAAGCCAGUGUGACCACCCACACUCUUGCAAACACCCAUAUGCAUACAUCACCCCUCCAGACUCCUCGAACAGUAUGAUAACCAGGGCUUUUUUUCAGCUGGAACCCACCAGAACUCAGUUCUGGCACCUCUCAGGUGGGCUCCAUUGCCAUUCUAAGAGAACAAAGAAGAGUUCUGGCACCUGUUUCCCCAGAAAAAUAACACUUUUGAUAACUAAGGAAGGGAUAAUUUGCAUCCAAAUCAGGGUUCUGGCUGGGCCAUCUACAGCACUAUGUAUAAUUUAGUAUAUAUAAUCCCCCCCUUUUGCUAUGAAAACCAGUGGGGUCUGGGGGGCAGCCAAAUUUGCCUGGGGACAUAGCUGUCAACUUUCCCCUUUUUAAAGGGAAAUCCCCUUAUUCCGAAUAGGAUUCCAUGCAAGAAAAGGGGAAAGUUUACAGCUAUGCUUGGGGAUCUGAAUUGACCCCUUGGGCCAGGGUUCGCCACCCCUGUUAAAUAAGAAUGGCUGUAAAGACAGCACUAAUCACCAGAGAGUAACAUCAAUGAAGCUUCAUGGCCCAUCUCAGCAGAAGAUGAAAUUGCAAAGAUUUAUGUAAGAAUUAGGUGCCAUGUGCAUUUUGAAUGGAGCAAUAUAUCAGUGACAGAAUUUGUACAAAUUCUUCUGCAAGUCUAAAUUGAAGUGAUAUUCUGUGGUGAAUUUUUGAUCAGAAAGGAGUUUCGACACCAUGUCAGGCAUUUGAAAACAUAUCCUGAUGUUAUGGAUCAUUCAAGUAGCUGAGAAAUUUCACUAUCUAUACCUUUCCUUCCAUACAGUGGUACCUUGGGUUAAGUACUUAAUUCAUUCUGGAGGUCCGUACUUAACCUGAAACUGUUCUUAACCUGAAGCACCACUUUAGCUAAUGGGGCCUCCCGCUGCUGCCACGCCGCCGGAGCACAAUUUCUGUUCUCACCCUGAAGCAAAGUUCUUAACCUGAAGCACUAUUUCUGGGUUAGCGGAGUCUGUAACCUGAAGCGUAUGUAACCUGAAGCUUAUGUAACCCGAGGUACCACUGUAUUUUGAAUACAGACGUAAAAGCAUCUUGAAGAAUGAAUAGCGUGACACUGAGGAAAGGUCACAUAGUGAGCUUCAUGGCCAAGUGGGGAUUUGAACCCUGGUUUUUCCAGGUCUUAAGUCUGGCACCUUAACUAUGACACCACAUUGCCUCUAGAUGUUGUUCUUUAUAUUCAUGCCUAUACAGUUUUUCAUAUGGGACACACACAGGUGAUGCUUAAUUUUGAGAGGGAAAGUAUCUUUUUUUGUUUUACAUGUUACAAAGAUGUCAGGUAAAAAUUCAGGACUGUGCUGCAUUUGAACACAGUUGUUUUCGUGGUUUUCAAAAUGCACAGAGAUACAGAAUCAUUUCAUCUCUUCAAGCAACAGUCUCUUGUCCCUUUUUGCCUUGUGUUACACACACGCACACACACAUUAUUCUAUACAUCCUAUCUAUACAUUAUUAUUUUCCCCCUAUUGGCUAUCUUUUCCUCUCUCCGGGAUGAUUCUAUUCAAACACCAACACAAUGAAGUCUCUUGUACCAAGUGUUAUCAGAGAUAGCUUGCUGAGCUGUAUAGAUAAUCGUUGCUCAAUAGAACACUCCCAAAUAACAAGGGGAAAUAGACUUUUGUGGUUAAAACUCAAGCCAAAGGGUUGGGGGGGGGGGGGUCUUGGCUAGUUUUGUCAGUAAUUUACAGUGUGAUUUUAUACGAGGGUUUUCAAUCUCAAACGAGCCUCCAAAAUAUUCUUUCAUGGGAACCUGGAAACAAAGUUUUAUGUUUUUUGUUAAAGUCAAACUAUUCACAUUUAUUAACUUAAUUAGUUAAACUUAAUUAAACUUUUUGUUUGAAAUGCUCCUGUUCAGAGAGUCUCUUCCAGACAGUCUACUUUAUUCUCCCUCAGCAAUCAGUUGCCAUUCUGUGUCCACUGAACAUGCUCACUCCUCCCAGAGCUGUGUUUGGGCUUCUCUUAGUCCCCUUCCCCCGCUGUACUUGGGGUUCCUGCGAGCCUCUAAUAUUUGCCUUGUGUGUAUGGGUUGUGCUUUCUUCAGCCCGAACAUUGCAGCGACCGAUGCCAAUAGACACCGGCACACUUAGGGAUCUGCAGAGUCCGCGCAGUUCACGUGACAGACCUCAGCAACUCAGCAUUUUGGCUAAUCUACUUUAUUUACAUAUAAACACACAUGGAGUACUGCAACAUGGCUCCCUCUCUAGCAUCAGACAGCAAAGAGAAAAAGAACAAAGGACAAUAGUCCCACUUCAUGGAACACAGUAACACAAACAUCCUGUCUCCGUCACUUCCCACUUUGUGGAGUCAAAACAUACACCCUCAUGUGAAAGACAACAAUCCAAUGACUGCAAUCAUGGAGCAGGAAUUCUAACAUCGGGACCCAGUGGCUUGCCAUCCCUUUGUCCCUUGCCAGUCCCACCUGCCAUCCUAGCUCCAAGUCACCCCAUACCAACCUUGCCUCCAGCCUCAGCACUGCCUCCUGCAUUGUCAACACCUGUCCUUCCAUCAGUUUCUACAGAUGAGCCUCUGCCCACACAGGAGACAUGAUACACUCUGGCUGGAUCUGAGCUGCCACCUUCUCCAUCGCCUAGGACAAAGAGACACCAACACUGGUGCAAAACACAGCUCAAGCCCCACCCAUCUGGAAGAGUUUGCCCAAUGCAAACAAACACCACAGAAACCUAGGAGUCGUGUCACUUGUCAGAUCCAUGUCAUAACCUGCUUAGCCACUUGCUGAACAUUUGACCCUUUCUUUGCUUAUGUACUGCACUAAUCUGAGCAUUUAACGUUCUGGCAGAAAACCUAAUCAGAGUUCAAGUUUUUCAUCAAGUAGGCGCUAGGACAGCACCCAUUUGUCACAUCUACUGCAUUUUGGAUCUCAUUCGAGAUGCUCUUCGUGCAUUUUUAAAUCCUUAAUGGACUACGCCCUGCAUGACUUUGGAAACACUGCUUCCUAUAUAACACUGUGCAUAGGACUGCUAUCUUAGGAAUGACCCACAGCAAGUAUUUGGCAAAUAUUUAUUAAAAAUCAGAGGCACAGAUAAUUUCCCGUGGAAGAUUGCUAAGAGGUCCUGUCAACACACUUCUGUGUUAAAAUCAAGAACGUUCAAAGACAUUUCUAGCAGUGAGUUCAAGGAGAAAGUCAGAGGACAUUAAGCCCUUUGUGGCUUAGGGUCCUCAUAUUUACGGGACCGCCUCUCCUGGUAUGUCCCACAGAAGACCUUAAGGUACAUGAAUAGUCAGACUAUUCUCCACCAGGGCCAGGGCCUUCUCAGUGAUGGCUCCGACCUGGUGGAAUGCUGUGUCCUAUGAGACUAGGGCCCUGCAGGAUUUAACCUCCUUCCACAGGGCCCGUAAAACAGAGCUAUUCCGCCUGGCUCUCAAUUUGAAUUUAGCCUGAUCUUUUAUUCCCCUCUCCCCUUUUUAUGAAGAUUACCCGCUCUGGGACCCCACAGCUAAUUCUCCCCUGGCCUCCUCGCUGGCCCAAAUAGGACUAAUUUAGCCAGCUAGCCCUGGUGACCAUCUAAUGUUUAUUGGAUGGAUUCCCCCCCCCCCAAUUGAUUUUUGAACUUUGAAUUUAUUGUUAUUCAUGUUUUUAUACUGUAUUUUAUGCUGUUUUUUGUUGUAUCACAAUUAAGUGUUUUAAAUUUGUUGUUGGCCUUCCUGAGCCCGGUUUUCUGAACCGGGGAGGGUGGGGUAUAAAUAAAAAUUUAUUAUUAUUAUUAUUUAUAGGGAAGAGGAAUGUGGAAAGAGGAAAGGAAGCACACAGACCUGAAGGAAACAUGGAAGAUUUACGGUACAUCCUCAAUUCUCUUUCAUAGUAGAAAAACAUAAAAUAAAGCUAAACGUUCCCUCAGUUUUCUUAAAAUGUGCCUGCCAUUUGUAUUAAGAUACAUUUUUAAUGAGGCAUGAAAAUACAUCUUGCCUGAGCUGUUUUCCUGUUUAUACAAAGGAAUGCUUUAUCAGCACUUUUCUGGCUAUGCAUAAAACAUUGACUUGAGAGCACACUAGGUAUACGGUUUCAAACAACCAAGAAGUGUAUUUGGGUCCACUUGGGAAAUUUCAUUUUGUACAAAUAGGGUUUUUUAAAAAAACAAAAAAGAAAAAGGGGGAAAAAAGAAAAAGAAAAGAAAGAAAUGUUGAUGCAUUAGCCUGGAACAGGCUGUGUGAAACAUUAUCCAUGGUACUGAUAGUGAAAAAAGAGAAAUUCAAAUACUGGAACUGAAUGGUAGUACCAAUAGUGUUGGUUUGAAAACGGCAUUUUCGAAAAGCAAUAAUAAGUUUAUUUAUGGUGCUCUGAGGAGAGAGUCACUCAAUUCCUUGGAUCAAUACAGUCUGGGGAAAUAGUUAUAAAAUGUCAAUGUGGCACCACAAAGGAAAUAUCCAUGAAGCUCCUCUGUCUUUCUCCCCCACCUCAUGGAUGGGCACCUAAGUGAUGGAUGAGCACUUCAGCGUACUGAAACAAAUUGUUUUGAUCCUUCCAUUUUACUGAAAAUAUUCUUUGUCCUUCAUGGUGUGUCUUGAUUCCUUCUGUGCCCCAUUUGAUUGAUUCAGAGACCAUCCCCACCACCCACAAUUGGCUUUAUUUGCUUUUGAAGAUGAUGUCACAUGACCCAAUUGGACUGGCCUUGUGGACAUGUGUAAUGGCCUCCUGUUCAGUUUGUGAUUUCCUGAAAGCCUUAGGUCACCCACAGUUCUAAUCCAGAAGGAAUGGCACAAAAUGAGUAAUUGACAGGGAAAACUGGUGCUGUACUGAAAUCUGCAUCAUAAUUUAUCAAAAGUUUUCUUCCCCUAUAAAAAUAAUAAUAUAAAAACUGCUUCAUCUGCCAGAUUAGUCAGCUUCUGUACAUGGAAUUGGCAGGGGGAAGGAUCUCAUCUGCCUCAGGUAGCAAAAUCUCCUGGGCCAGCCCUGGUAAUGCUCAGGCAAAGAGACAGUGUGCUCCCCUUUUAACCCCAAUGGCUUUAUGCAUUUGGUAUCUGAUUUCUAAAAAGAACAUCCAGUUCAGAACAAAAUACUGUGUUAUUCAAAAACUCUCUGCCAUCCUUUCAACCACCCACAGUUUGCUAAGCUACAUCCUCCAGGUCCACCUCAGUAAAAGCAUAGGCAGAAAGGAUAUACAGUUUGCAUUUUCUCGUAUAGAAUCCCUCCGCUUAAUGUGGAAUCUGUUGUUCACAGGGGAUACCUUAGAAAACAUUAAUAUCACACUAAUAGCUUUGAAAAGGCAAUAUGUAAGAAAGGGAGGGGUAAUAUAUUCUUGGCUAAAUAGCUAUUAUCUUUUAACUGUUGAAAAUAGUAUAAAAAGACCAGUGAUAUUACAGUGGUACCUCAGGUUAAGUACUUAAUUCGUUCUAGAGGUUCGUACUUAACCUGAAACUGUUCUUAACUUGAAGCACCACUUUAGCUAAUUGGGCCUCCUGCUGCUGCUGUGCCGCCGGAGCACGAUUUCUGUUCUCAUCCUGAAGCAAAGUUCUUAACCUGAAGCACUAUUUCUGGGUUAGCGGAGUCUGUAACCUGAAGCAUAUGUAACCUGAGGUACCACUGUACUAAAGUUUGUCAUAACUUCUCAUAAACAAGCUUUUCUGCUUUGGUGUUAAACCAGCAUGUUGUUUGUCUAUGUACAAGAAUGUAUAUAAGGAGCAAACUACAUGUACAAUGGCACCCUGUCAGUUUUUUGCUGUUGAGAGAAGCUUUCAUUUUGAGCAAUGAAGUGAUGGUGGUGUAUGUACUUACCGUACGCCUGCUGUUUGACUUACCUGGAUUAUGUUCCCAAGUUACUUUUCACCCUGUGGUGUUCCCAAUGCACAAAAAAUUACUGGUAUUCACUUCCUGGUUCUGGUUACCUACAUAAUUCAUUUAGAAAUGGGGGAUAUUUUAAUAUCUGUAAAUGAUAUAGUUUAAUAUAAUUUUACAUAAACGAUAUUGUGCCUAGACUUGGUGAUGGGACGGAUGAGUGCUAAUACACUGACUCUGAAUCCUAGCAGUGCUAAUACACUGACUCUGAAUCCUAGCAAGAUGGAGGCACUGUGGAUGAGCAGUUCCCAGGUCCAGCUAACUAAUCAAACGUCUACUUUGGAUUGGGCUAUAUUCCCACUGAAGGGACAGGUUUGUAGUCCAGCAGUGCUCCUGGAUCCAUCUGUUACCAAAGGCCCAGGUGACCUCAUUGGCUGUGAGUACUUUUUACCAGAAUCAGCUGGUAAGACAGCUGUAGCCAUUUCUGGACUGGGAUAUUCUGACUGCUAUCAUUCAUGCACUGGUAACUUCUAAACUGGAUUCCUGCAGUGCACUCUGUGUGGGGCUACCCUUGAGUUUAACUCAGAAGCUGCAGCUAGUGCAAAAUGUGGAGGCUCGACUGUUCACUGGGACAAGAUAUCAUCAAUGCACUAUCGCAUUGUUGAAUGAGUUGCACUGGCUACCACUUAGCUGCCUACUUGCACAAUGAAACUCCUAUUGUGCAAUGAGACUUAUAGUUUCUAGUCUCCCCUCACUCCAGCCCCUGCACAUCCCCUGAGUUGUAAAGUGAACCGUCAAAGCAUAUCAAAUCCAAAUGUUCUCAAAAGAGUAUUGGCAAAUCGUAAUACAUAAAUCCAACACAUCUACCUCCAAAAUUAUAUACAACAUGCAAAUUUAUCUAAAAGAAUUGCUGGUUUUUCUAAAUAUGUAACUGUGAUUUUUGGCAACAGUGCAGAUGAGGAGCAGCCUCAUAUUUGUGUACAUUUUUAAAGCAGUGAAGAGAGAUAUUUUGAAAAAGAAAGAAAGAGGUGGCUGGCUAAUCUUCAAUUAGCCUUUCUUUUCUCGGCAAAGUUGCUUAAUAGAGACUGUUCAGCUCAGUUCCAAAUAUAAAAUUGUAUAUAUCUAUACACACACACGCAUACACACCCGGAGGAUAGUAUUUAGUUAUAUUCAGUGAGUCCAGAGAAUCUAAGAAAUGGGGCAGCAAAUUCUGGCUAGUGUAUAUUUACAGCAACACAAGGAAAUUGAAGACUCGUGUUAUUUAAAGGCUCUCAAUUUAAAGAACAUCCUUUCCAAAGCAAUUCUCUAACUCAAAGAUGCACAGCUGUAAUUUCCAUGCCAUUCAUUGCUACUGCUCUUUGAACCAGAUAGGGAGGCAGUUUGUUCAUAUUAUUUAGCCAGCUGGUGCAGGUGUGGUGGCAAAAAAAGUUGGUGGAAGGCAUGAAUGGCAGAUCAGAAGAAAAACCCAUGUCUCUAAAUGGGAUAUUCUGAGUUUUAAUUAUUCCAGUAAGAAGCAGCCAUCAGCCAACAAAACAGAUGGCAGUCUUACUGCCCACUAGAUUUAAAAAUAUCUCUGGGGAUUUGAAACAAUGAGCAGGCUUUCUGCAAUUAAUCUAGCAACUAAGGAUUGUAUCUGGAGCACUAAUUAAAAGCCUAGCUUUGAAUAAAUGAGUUUUCUAAAAAGGAAGCCUGGGUUCUGAAAUUGUGUUAACUUUUUGUCUCCUAAUAGAGAUUAUAUUAUAAACAAUUUGCCAGAGAAAGUGGUGGAGUUCUGUUUCACUUUUUAAAAUCAUCUUUAAUGAGCAAUGUAGCAACUUUUGAGCAUUCAGUCCUUUGGGAUUAAACAAAUGGCCCUGACAUUGCUUAUCAAAAAUUUCCAGUUUCCAUAACACAAUUAAUAAAUAAUGUUAAACCCAGGGUUAUGGCAUAACUCCAGAGCUAUGGGGUUUGACCAGAUGACCCUUAGGGUUCCUUGCAACUCUUACAAUUCUCUUACAAAUAAUAGUAAUAAUAAAUCAUACUGGAAUAGGACACCCCUAUUUUCAUUGGAGAAAUGUUGAAGGGUAUGCAAUUACUGUUUCAAGAGCAUAAGGAUUUCUGCAUGUGCAGCGGAACUUCUUCUCAUGCACCAAUGUGUCACAUGUUCUCUCCUAGUUUGCCCCAGAGGAUUGUGGGAACACCGAGAACAGAUUUAGGGGACAAGCAGGAGGAAGAGAGGGGGAAGAAUGUUCUGUUGCUCAAGCAGAGAUCCCUAAACUGACAGAACACUUGUGGAAUGCUAUUUUGGAUACAAUUCAUGGCAGUCAAUAUGGUUGCCUCUAUAUGAUUUUGGACUACAACUUCCAUCAGCCCCAGUCACAUGUAGUACAGCAAUAACUGGAGGCCACCCCCUUGGCUACCUUUGGUCUACACCAGGCAUGGCCAAACUUGGCCCUCCAGCUAUUUUGGGAUUACAAUUCCCAUCAUCCCUGUCCCCUGGUCCUGUUAGCUAGGAAUGGUGGGAGCUGUAGUCCCAAAACAGCUGGAGGGCCAAGUUUGGCCAUGCCUGGUGUACACUAACAGUGACUCUCAGAGUUUGGGGUAAGGGGCUUUGUCAACCCCACCUGCAGAUAUGAGGGUUUGUAUCAGGGACAUUUUGCAUACAAAUCACCGUCUCUUUCAUUGACCUACAACUUUUCCCACUAAAAGAAUUUGAAAAGGCAAUCUUCAUUCAAUCUACCAGCCAAAGUGUAAUGCAAUUAGUAUUCUUGGAUCAAAGAACACUACAGUAAAGUGCAGACCUUAAGUAUAAUGAGUAGCAAAUCAUAUAAUUGUAUAAUCUGCUAGCUGUCGAUUGCAAGUUCAGGGCAGGUGACAAUUCUCUAUACCUCCAAUCCUCAUAGCACUCACUGCUAUUACAAUGUUAUGAUACAAAAGUGAAACAGAAAGGUGGUGAUUGAUCACCCAAAGCCAUGUUGCGACGGCUGUGUGCAAAUCUGAAGCCAAAUCUCCAAAGACCUGCUCCGCACUCUACCAGAGGCAGAUGUUUUGUGGUAAAAUGCCUGCACCAUUCUACAUAGCAAAAACACAAAAAUGCUGGAACUCCUAAUUAAUUUUGAGGCUGCAAAUAUUUAGCAAAACAUUUGAGCUCUGCAGUGGCAGCCUUUUGAAUGUUCAUCAUCACUGUUCGCUGAAAUCUGUUAUCAGGAUUGGGUGACAUUUUGCUGAAAAUGUUUUGGCAGCCACUAUCCUUGCUAUAUGAUUCCCCAUCAACAGCAAUCUUUGCAGUAACAGAGAUGAUACUCACAAAAAAAGCAUCCUUUUCACUGCUGUGUGCUAUGUUUCUGACUUACCAUUCCCAAACUGUGAUAAAGCAAACAUUUAUGUAACCAGCACAUUUUGCCCAUGCGUCUAUUGUGCUUUGUACCCAUUCUUCUUGACCGCCUAAGGAAGUAAGCACUAGGCAGCCUCCAGUUACAAGCAAUAACGCAGGUCACAACCACACCCAAUUCUGAAAGCAUCAUUAGACCACUGCGGGCCUUUAAAACGCAUAAUGCCUCUGUGCAUAGGUGCCAGUUGCACAGAACAUGAACUGAACAUUAAAAAACAAGCAUUAUAAAACCAUCACAAACAACAACAAAUAACAUUUCCAUACCACACACUUAAAGCACUACUAAUAAAAAGGUAAAGGUAAAGGAUCCUUGGAUGGUUAAGUCCAGUCAAACUUGACUAUGGGGUGCAAACAGUUUUCUGGGUCAUGUGGACAGCAUGACUAAACCGCUUCUGGCACAAGCGGACAUCAUGAUGAGUGCCAGCGUGCAUGGAAACCUAUUUAUCUACAGUGGUACCUCAGGUUACAUACGCUUACAUACGCUUCAGGUUACAGACUCCACUAACCCAGAAAUAUUACCUUGGGUUUAGAACUUUGCUUCAGGAUGUGAACAGAAAUUGUGCUCCAGUGGCGCAGCGGCAGCAGGAGGCCCCAUUAGCUAAAGUGGUGCUUCAGGUUAAGAACAGUUUCAGCUUAAGAACGGACCUCCGGAACGAAUUAAGUACUUAACCCGAGGUACCACUGUACUUGCACUGGUGUGCUUUUGAGCUGCUAGGUUGGCAGAAGCUGGGACAGAGUAACAAGAGUUCAUCCCAUCAUGGGGAUUCGAACUGCUAACUUUCCAAUCGGCAAGCCCAAGAGGCUCUGUGGUUUAGAUCCCAGUGCCACCCACUCCCUAUACCACUUUAAGAGCCAAAGACUCCUGAGAAGUGCAGGUUGUUAAGGGUGUUGUUAAGGGACCCCUUAUUUCCCUGACAGAACUACAGUUCCCAGACUGGUUUAACAGUCAGUCCUUCUUCUCAGCUCCCAACAUCUUAACAAGCCUUAGUUCCCAGGAUUCUUUGGGGAAAAUUAUGAUUGUUUCAAGUGGGAUCAUAGUGCAUCAAAUGUAUGGUGGAGAUGUGACCUCAGAUCAUGUACAAAAUAUAUAUAAUUGAGUCAUUUGAUGGGUUCCCCCGCCCUCAACACAUCUACAAGUACUGUCCUUUGUUGUUAUUUGUGUUUGUCUGUUAACAGCAGAUGCUCAAAUCAUGUUCUUUGCAACUGUCCCCUGUGAGCGGAGUGAGUAGCAGUGUGGCAUAUGUGCAUAUUUCUUUCUUUUCUUUUUUCUUUGGUCAAGUCAGUUUCAGAAUAGCUAGCAUACCAAAAUCUUCCACCCUCUACAAUGAAAGAGUAUCUUUAUUAUUUUUUUUAAGAAAAAAAAUCAUGUAGUAUAUGAAAGAUCUAUAAGGUCAAGGGAAAUUUUUUUUGAUGGAAGCAGCUAUUUUUUGGGGGGGAAUAGUAAAAGAAGUCACUAAAAUGUAGGGAAAGAGGAAAAUGAAAUUAAUAAUCCAUUCUAAAGAAAUUAUUAUUUCAAAACACAGCUGAAUAAUUCAUUGUUGAGACAAGAAUGAAAUGCUGAAUAUAUUGACACGCACAUGUUGAAAAUCUAACUUCAGAGAUCCUUGUAAAAUGAAUGGAAAUUAAGUACAUAGGGACAUUGGCUGUGUUCUCAUACAAUGGUAAACCAUGCUAGCUACAUGAUAUGUUAAGCAUCACAACCCAAUCCAUAGCUUACUGGGACCAUGCAAUUAUGCUGGUUAUUGGGGAGCUGCUAAUGGGUGCUCUGCUUCUCUCUAGUCCUAUUUUUGUUCCUCUGCUGAACAGAUCUGAGCCAAGUUUGGUUUAGCAUGUCAUCAAAAGCCAGGCUCUUAGCUAAGCUGUCUCAUCACCAACCACAAUCUGUAGCCAGUAUGAGAAAGCUCAUCUCUCAAAAUUACCAUAGUUCGACUUACCAUGCUGCGUGAACCAGGCCUUUGUAAAAUGUCUGAAAAUAAGCUUUGCUUUCUAAAUAAAUCUCAUUUUAACUGCUGUAAUUAAAUGGUACUUGUUAUGAAUAAAAUACCCCCCGAAAGGGAAAAGAAAAGGCAUGCUUCCUGCCAUCAUCAAAGGCUUAUUAUAUAAGAACCUACAGUAUUAGUCACUUGCAGUCUGAAAUAGCAAGCUUAACAAGGAGAGAAAGCCAUCUAUUUUAAAGUAGUCUCCUGAUAAGAGAAUAUUCUUCCUUAUUCAGAGGUUCCUUGUUUGGAAAUCAUGGUCACUGUGAUAAAUUUGAAUGAAAGCAACCUAAACCUACUGAAAGAUAAACUUUCAUUAUUGAAAUAUACUUGGAGUCCUGCAGUGAUUUCAUGCUCUUUAUUGCAGCUUGUAAAACAGUGAUUGAAUCCCCCCCCCAAAACCUCAAGCAUUUAUAUACAUCAUUUGCACAAUGAGUCCCGUCUGAUUGGCUGAUUCUGCUUCCCUCCUGGAGCCUGAUUGGUCUUCUCCUGCAGGCCAAUCAGUUGUUGCAUUCUACGAUCCUAUCAGCCUAAUAGGCUGAUUAACUUUCUCCUGAAGCGUGAUUGGUCUUCUCCUGCAAGCAUUCUAAGAUCCUACCUGCCUAUUGUUCCAGGAUCCAAGCUUAGUACAUAACAGUUAUGAAUGAUUGUUCCAUUGUUCCAUAAAUAAUCAACUUUCUGUGUUUUGUACCGCAAACAUUUGGAAGAGAUGGAGGGAGGAGCUAGCUGGUUGUCAGGAAUUGCAAAAAGGUGCUUGGGACAAGUCCCACCCUUUCAGUUAAGCCCCACCCUUACCUUAUGACAUCAGGUGUAGGGUGAGUGAACAUGGCUUUCCCAAAACUGCUUCAUUUGCCAAAGGGGAGAGUCUUGGUGGGCCAAAAAUUUCUAACAAACCAGAGGUUCCUCACCCCUAAUUUACAGUAGAAAUGGGGGGAGGAGGAAUCACCUCAGGCUCAGAAUAGAGCUGAAGGCUACUUGCCUUAUCUCAGCCUCACCCCGCUCUCCAUGCCCCCCUCCACGUCUUUCCUCCUUUUCUUCCUAAUGUAAUACUAAUGUCUCAGCAAAGGAAAUUGAUCUGUAGAAAACGUAAUUUGAAAAAAGAGACAUUGUGCAUACUUUUGUAAACCAAGAAAUCUUUAAUAAAAAUAUAUUUAAAAAAUAAGAAAGAAACAGGACAACGUGUAAAAGAAAGAUCAAGACAGUUAAAAACAAAUACCUUUCACUCUAUAAGACACACUUUUUUCCUCCUAAAAAGUAAGGGGAAAUAUCUGUGCAUCUUAUGGAGCGAAUGCAGCGGACGGCAGAAGGAUCCCUCGGCUGCUGCUGCUGCAGUCAUGAGCUGAGGGAUGCCUCCACAGCCAGAGCCAUGGCUCCUGUCCAUCGCUCGCUGGCUUUACAGUGAGGCGGGAGGAGGGAUGGACGGGGCUGCCGUCCGUCCCUCCUUCCGGCUCAUUGUAAAGCCCGCAAGAGCCACUGCCGCUAAAACUCUCUGCGCAGCUCUCGCUUUAAAGCAACAACCGUGCAGAGCGUGCCUGCGGCUCUUGCUGGCUUUACAAUGAGCUGGAAGGAGGGACGGAUGGCAGCCCCAUUUGAAAGUGACUUUGUGCAGGUAGCUUGCAGCAGGAUCAAGCCCAACACCACCCCCUCCCCAGUGCUGCCACCUCCACCCCACAACACCCACCCCACCACACAGGUCCAGGUCCCCACCCUAUUCCUGCCCCUGCACUGCUUCCAGCCCCAUCACCGCAAUGGUACCCACACCUGUGGCUGUGCUGGCUGCCACCACAUCACAGCAAUGAGGCUGUGUGAAGAAUGUGGACGACGCCUCAGUGGAGCUGGCAGCAGUAUAAAGACAGGGGAGGGGAGAGCUCAGAUCCACUGCCUGAAUCAAGUGUCUUCGCUUCUGCCCUUGCCUCUGACCCCUGUACUGUAUGUUUUAAGACCCACCCUACACUUUUGAUUGUAAUCCGGCUCAUUGUGAAGCCAGCAAAGCAAGAGCUGCUGACACGCUCUGCACAGAUCGUGCUUUACACGUGUGUAAUUCAAGCAAAGGGAGAGCCGCUUACACGGCUCCUGCCCCGGCGUCUCCUCCUCCUCUUUUUGCUCUGGUUCCGGCGUCGACUCGGAGGUGAGGCAAGGCAGCUGCCCGCCACAGGCACACACAAAUGUGAGCUCUCCCUCUCUCUUCAGAAUAUUGUUUUUCUUGUUUUCCUCCUCUAAAAACUAGGUGCGUCUUAUGGUCCUGUGCGUCUUAUGGAGCGAAAAAUACGGUGGUUUAAUAUAAAUUAGAGUUAAGUGAUAUUAGCUGAAACACAAAAUAUUAUGUAAAGAAGCUGACAAAUGUUACACCAUUCGCUAUAAAAUUACCCAUUAUGUAUUUUAUCUGCAAACUAUUAAGUCCAGUUUUUUUAUUCGGCAGAAAUUGCGUUAUAGCCGCCUUUCAAUUUAUUUACCAAAAUUAGAAACUUUAUUCGAUAUCUGUGUCUUUAAGCAUUUAAAUAAAUUAUGUUGGCUCAACAAAAAUGGAGUCUGUUAAAUGCUUUGCAGUCUAAUACUGUUGCCAGGAAUUCAGUCAGAUUGAAAUAUUUGCUGCUAUCUUGGUUUGAUUAUUUAAGAAGAGAACUGGAAUUGAUUCAAGUUCAAUAGAAUGACUAGACAGCAGGAACUACAAUAAUCUAGUAGCAAAACUGGAGGAUUGAUGUAACUGAUCAGAUAAUAACAGGAUUGCAGAGAGAAAAAGCCCUCAAGUGAUUAGCCAGCAGGAGAUUGGACUAAAAGGGCAAUUGAGCUUGCAGCAGUAGGAAGUGGGCAGCUCAUUCAUUGGAAAAUGUGAAACAAAGAUAUUGAAGGAAGCAGCAGUACCAAUAUCCAGAAGUGGGGAGGGGGGGAUUUCUCUGAGGAAGGCUCAGGCAGGAUAUAGAACAAUUAGAUACCAAGAACCACUCAAUGGAAGAAGGUGGAAGAAGGUUGAAACCAGAGAUGUAAAAGUUAAGAAAAGCAUCAAAAGCAAUAGAAAUAAACAGAAAGCAAAGCACAUAAAGGCAAUUGAAAAGCUGCAAUAUUUGAGUGGUGAGAGUAUUAAUCAGACCUGUAUGUAUGGGAGCUUUUGAAUAAAGACUUAAGUUUACCAUACAUAGGUCUAUGCAAAUACCUAGGACAAGAUCCAACAUCACACAGGUUGUCUGUGGGGCAAGUGGGGCACACACCACAACUGAAUACCACUCAUAUAGGACUGCAGUUUAUUUUAUUCAUCCAUCCAUCCAUUCAGUCAUUCAUUCAUUCAUUCAACUGAUGGAUUUGUUAUUUCUUCAACCAGUUCAACUAAGAUUUUAAUUGAUGAACUGAUGGGAGUCAGUCUUAACUUGUGAAGUUUCUAAGUUUCAGAAUGGUGUGUGUGUGUUCAGAAAAGUCACUUCCUCCUUAUCUGAACCAAAAUUCUUUUGAAUAUUGCCUAAGUGUCAGGUCCUACCAGUGCUUAGUCUCCAGACCUUUUCAGAAGAAGAGGAAUAGGGUCCUGCAGUGGCCCUCAGCACUGAAGGAGACCUGAUUAACAUCCUCUCUGGAACAGCCAAAGGCUGUUCCCUGUCUCCAGUGACUCUCCAUUCUGGACUAUUGCCUGGCAGUAUCCCCACCCUUCUCCCUAAACCUUGGGAUUUCAGAAGGUCAGAUCUUGCUUGUCAACCCAAGUGCCCUUCUCCAACCAGCCUGCUCAGGAAGAGAAGCCAAGGCCCAGCCACACACUCUGGAUCUGGAAGGGAAUCCCCACAUCUUCAAAGAAAAUGGAGACUCUCAAAUUCUACCAGUUCACCAGUGAAUCCCACGUCCAGUGCUUUUCUUUCUCCCCUGACCUUCCUGAUAAAAUGUGGGGAGGGGUAGGCAAGAAGGCUUCUGUGGGGAGUAAGGACUGGGAAAAUGCUCUUGUACAAAUAGAACUCUUCUCGCACUUCUCUGGGCCCAGUUCUGUGUACGUGGAACAUCUGCUCAAGGACUUUUCUUUGAACUUAGGUGCAGUUUUAGAGGCUGAUGGUUUAUUAAUAUAGAAUUAUUUAGUAGAAUUAUCAUAAGCCACCUGGUGAAUGUAUAUGUAGUACAGUGCACAGAUUCUGAAGAUGAUGAUGAUAAUGUGUGUGUGUUUGUGUGUGUUUGUGUGUGUGUGUGUGUGUGAGAGAGAGAGAGAGAGAGAGAGAGAGAGAGAGAGAGAAUAACAACAUUGAUGACAAAAGGUGUGUUUUGGUAUCAAUAAAGAAUAAUAUGACUGCAUGAAAAGGUUAACAGGUUAGACAGACAAGACAGGCUACCUUGCUAAAUAUACUGAGCUUCCCUAUUUAUUUGUUUUGCUGUCAAGUUAAAAGUUUUUUAUUUACAAAGAGCUUUUAACACUCUUGAGUUUCAGAUUUAAAAUGUGAUUGCCAGCCACUGAAUUUGGUGUUGUUUUCUGACCUUUUCUUUACUGUAUGAAAAUAUAUCCUUUAUGAAUUGUACAUUGUUUUUAAUAGAUAAGCAACUUACCUCACAUACAAAAAAAGAGAGCAAAGAAAGAGCAAAAGAACCAAAGAAAGAAGCUUAAUUUUUUAGACCUGAGAAUAAAGCAGCCAAAGGUCCUGAUUAGAAUGCAGCAGAGCUAGACUGCAAGAGAGAGGGGGCAGGGUGGCGAGAGAGAGUGUACUGUAAGAAUAAAGAAUGGGAAAGGGCAAUCAAUUAUAUUCUGACAGGAGCCAAUCAAGGGUGAUGGCUGAGCAGUUAGCCUGGUAAAACGGCUGUAAAAAGGACUACUAAUUGCACAAACAGCUUAUCCAAAAGUGACAAGCACAGAAGGUGGAACAGCUGAUUGGACAAUGCUAACAAUGAAUUAAUCAGUCAAAUGACUGAUCAGAGAUCAGUUCACUUGGACAGGGCCUGAUAAAAGAGUCCAAUGGCUGAGGUAUGAUCUCAUAUCAAAAUAGCUCAAGCAUGAGCAUGGCUGAGCAGCCAGGUCAAUUUGUCACGCCAGAAAUAGGAUUAUUAUUUUUUUUAAAAAUGUAACAGAUCAGAAGCAACUCCUCAUACAGAGAGCAUACAGCCCUGGGCUGGGGAAUCUUUCUUAAGAGGGCUGUAUUCCCUUUUGGGUGACAUUUGAGGGACUGUAUGCCAAUGAUGGGAGAGGCAGAUGAGCAGGACUACUGAUGUGACUCAGCUUGUGUGUGUGUGUGUGCGCACACACACACUCCAUCCGCCAUCUGGGCAAACAAGAGGCAUUGGAAGCAUCCUCGCCAGGAAAAACCACUAACAGAUGGGGCAGGCCAGGGUGGUGAGAGCUGACCUGGGGAGACUCCUGAGGUCUGGAGCGCCAUCAAAUAUGUGAGUCACUGUAUGUGCACAGUUGAUGGUCAGAAAUCACGUAAGCAUUGAGAGUAGGUUUUCUUUUAACUGGCCAUAAAGACAAACAAACAACAGCAAAUCUUUGUAAAUGUGUUUAUAGUAAUUUGUCAAAGGAAUAACAAUUAUGCAAAACACUGCAGGAGUAGAGGAUAGAGGGAGAGGGAGAGAGAGGUUUUAUUUGGCCGGCAGAAUUUGCCACCUAUUUUGUAAUUAAUGGUAUCGUUUUCAUGCAGCAGGAGCACAAUUAUGCCAGGAACAGGACAGUGAAGGCUUUCUCUUUUGAAACAAGAAUUUCAUUCCAAUCCUAUGCCUGCCUGCACAUUCCUCCUUAAGUAUGUAUCUGAUUGCAGCCUUUCUCAUUUUGCCCUGCAACGAACGUUUGAGCUCCUGCCCAUAGGAUAACAAGACACUCAGUUGGCUCAAAUUCACAGAUAACAAAUAAGCAACUUAUCUCACACAGGAAAAAAACAAAACAGAAGCUCAUCAGGGUAAAAGAGCCAAAGAAACCAAAACCACUUCCCACUACAGAUGCUAAGUCAUGUUUCAUGAGUAGCUCUGCAUACCACAAAAGUUCUUUCUGUACAUGCUGUGAAGACAUGGUUGCAGAUUGAAUAGAUCAGGAGUUGUCAACCUUGUCCCUACGGCCCACUAGUGGGCAUUUCAGGAUUCUAGGUGGGCGGUAGGGGGUUCUACGACACAAGCUGAAUCCUCCUUCCAUCAAGCACUGGUGGGCAGUAAGGGAAUUUUACCAUCAAGAAAGAUGCAUUAGUGGGCGGUAGGUAUAAAAAGGUUGACUACCCCUGGAAUAGAUGCCACAUCACAAGGCAUUUCAGGACUGAGGUUUAAAAUCCUAAUUCCCACUUCUCUCCCAGCAACAACAACUACUACUGGCAGUUUAUUCUUUAGCAAGCACUGGUGCCCAAAGCUUUUAGCCUGAGGCAUCUCAAUUCAUAGUGACUAAGGAUAGGGCCAGGCCUGGCUCAUCCAGUUGAAUAAAGCAGCAAUAUCCUUACAUCUUAAUUUGAUGAUAGACUUGGCAGCAGAAAGCCUUUUCGGCACCAGAGAACGGUCAUAUUUUAGCAAAGAAGUAUAAACCAGUGAGUGCCAUGCAACACUGUAUCAUUUGGCCUUAUUGUUUCUGAAAGGAACAUGGCAAGCAACCUGCUGAAGUCCAUACAGGACAGUUUGAGACAGCACCAUAUGCAUGGUGGCACUGUGGUCUAAACCAUAGAGCCUAGGGCUUGCCGAUCAGAAGGUUGGCGGUUCGAAUCCCCGCGAUGGGGUGAGCUCCCAUUGUUCGGUCCCAACUCUUGCCAACCUAGCAGUUCAAAAGCAUGUCAAAGUGCAAGUAGAUAAAUAGGUACCACUCCAGCGGGAAGGUAAACGGUGUUUCCGUGCACUGCUGUGGUUCACCAGAAGCAGCUUAGUCAUGCUGGCCACAUGACCAGAAAAACUGUCUGUGGACAAACGCCAGCUCCCUCGGCCAGUAAAGCGAGAUGAGCGCCACAACCCCAGAGUCGUUCACGACUGGACUUAACAGUCAAGGGCCCCUUUACCUUUCGAUGUCCUUGUAUAUUCUUGGGCCAGUUUGAACAAAAUAAUGCAGCAGCUGUAGAUGGUGACUGCUAGGCCUUGGUCCAUAGCAACCUCUGUGUUUCCACCUCCAUCAUUCAGCCCAGACACUGAGGUCUAGCCCAGAGGGCCUUCUGGUGGUUCCUGCACUGUGAGAAGUGAAGUUACAGGGAAUCAGGCAGAGGGUCUUCUUGGUAACGGCGCCCACUCUGUGGAACACCCUCUCAUCAGAUGCCAAACAGAUAAACAACUAUAUAACUUUUAGAAGACAUCUGAAGGCAGCUUUAUUCAGGGAAGUUUUUAAUGUUUGAUGUUUUAUUGUGUUUUUAUAUUUUGCUGGAAGCAGCCCAGAGUGGCUGGGGCAACCCAGUCAUAUGGGUGGCAUAUAAAUAAUAAAAUCAUGUUUAUGAUUAUUACCAUGCCAAACCAAUUCACCUGUAGCCUCUUAAGUGCAGCAUAAUGUUGAUGUAAGAUGGAAGCAUUUGUGCUGAAAAGUGUACCACCUCCACACCCCAAUUUUAAUAUUCUGCAUGACUGUAUUUAAAUGAUAAAAAGUCCCACCCUUAGCUAAAAAGCCAUUGCUAAAAUGUUGCAUCUGUUUCGGUUUCUUCUUUGAUCUAGGUCAGGGGUAGGAUCCUCAGUUCUGGCCUUCAGGACUUUUCCCAGGCAGUGCUGCAUCUCCAGACUGGACCCCUUCUUCUGAGACCCCACCCCUCACUGGUCCAUGCUCUGCAGCCUCUUCAGGUGCCUUUGCCUUUCCUUGCGAUAGCACCUCUUGCUUCCCUGGAUGGAGAGAGAUGUGUCUAGGCACCUUUAUCAUCCGUUGCAAUGCAGCCUAUUAUACAAGGGUUACUCCAUCCACUUUUGCCUCUGGCCCUGUCCAGCACUUCCAUGUGGCUCAUGGAAGAUUUCCCAAGAGGCAAUGCAGUUCUCAGGCUGAAAAGGGCAUCCCACUCCUGCUGUAGGUUUCUCAAGCCAACAUACUGUAUUGGGUGAUACUUUCAUGAGCACAAUGACCCUCUCCUCCCAUCCAGCACACUCACAUGUACACAUUGGUAUGGGGGGAACAUCAUCCAGUCCAGUCCAGUGUGUGUCCCAAAGUGUUAAAUCUCUGCUUUUGAAAUGCUCACCAUGGCAGUGAAUCCGUCCUAUCUGCAUGAUGUGUUGUGCUUGAGAGCCUUCCUAACUUCUUAGCAAGUUUACAUUAGCUCUGCAAAAGGAAACUUUUGACAAUGGGUAUUAGUUUAAUUCAAACAUAUCUGACAUAGCUGAAGUUUAAUUUACUUAAACAUAAUGUUGGGCUCUCGCACGAUUAUUUCAGUGCUGGGAAUCACAAUUUAUAGAUGAGGCUGAAUGAGCAGCACUCAGCUUCAGCUCAGGACGAACUUCUAGGAUCCCUAGCAAACGGAAGUCUCUGGCAAUUGAGUCAGCUCCCACAGAUGUAGCACAUCUCAAGAAAUGGGAACUUCUCAGCUGGAUGCUCAUUUACACCCUAUGAUUAGAAAAUGUACUUAUCAGUUUCACUUUCAAUGAAGCUCUAGCAAGAACAGGGUGAUAGCAACAUUAACAAAGUACGUUGCGUAUUUUUAGUCACUUGUUCUCACUUGGCACAAGAACACCCUUGACAAGUAGCACCUACUUUGCCAGUCUUCUUGGGAAUGUAACUGCAGUUGAUUUCACAUUGUGUCACAUGCAUGUAUGUAUUAGUUCCAGCAGUGGAUAUGUGAGGGAUAGUGUUGCACACCACUAAAGACAAUUAUCCAUUGGGUAUCAGAUUUGCACCAUGCACUUUCUUUGAAGGAGAUUGGAUGGCACAUGUAGAAACUACCAUGUUAUGCCAGCACAACAAUAGCCUAGAGAUACAGGUCAACCAUUUGAAUCCUAGUCUGCUUCAUUCAAGCCCAGCACUCUCCCCACCCCCCAUUCCACAUUGGCAUGCCCAUCCACUAGGAGCUUGUGGUAGUUGUACAGCUAUAUUCUAUGCAACAAAUCACAAUCAAAAUGCAUGUGCUAGCUGACUGGGAGGAGACAAAUUUAUUUCUGAAGCUGCAGUGGUAUCUCCCUGUGGAGAUGUGGAGCAGUGCCUCCAGGCUUGCUCUUUCUGUGACUAUGAAGUUUUUAAACAGCCACAAAAGAAGAAAAUUAAUGACAAGUUUAGGGUGUGAGGCAGGGGGAUAAUUUUGUGCUCCAUAUUCCCCCAAUUCACCUCAGAGUACCAACUCAAUGGUGGUUUGGCUCAAGUCUACUCACAAUAUCACCGAGUGUGAAUAGAUUCAGGUAGGUAGCCGUGUUGGUCUGACACAGUCAAAAUAAAUAAAUAAAAUUAAGAAAUUGUCCAGUAGCACCUUAGAGAACAACUAAGUUUGUUCUGGGUAUAAGCUUUCAUGUGCAUGCACACUUCUUCAGAUACACUGAAACAGAAGUCACCAGACCUUUAUAUAUAGUGGGAGGGUGGGGUGGGGUUUUGCUCAGAGGGGUAGUAGGAGAUGGGUGAUUGGCUCAAUGGGUAUGGUAAACCUGUUGACAGCUGUUAAUGACUGCAAUUAGUCCUACAGGAAAAAGCAAGGGAUAGUAUGCAGAUGACCAAAAAUAGCUUUAGACAGUCCAUCAACAGGUUUACCAUACCCAUUGAGUCAAUCACCCAUCUUCUACUAAACCUUCUGAGAAAACCCCCACCCCACCCUCCCACUACAUUUAAGGGUCUGGUGACUUCUGUUUCAGUGUAUCUGAAGAAGUGUGCAUGCACAUGAAAGUUUAUACCCAGAACAAACUUAGUGGGUCUCUAAGGUGCUACUGGACAUUUUUAAAUUUCUUAAAUUUAUUUCAACUGAGUGUGAAUGAAAUCCAUCCAGAUUGAGAGCAAUACUUCCUGAACAUACAGCUUCAAAGCAACCACUCACAAACUGUUGGAAGUGAAUGCUUUUAGAUGUUCUGGUGGAGAAAUGUUUGUGAAACACAGUAAUUCUAGUUUAGCAUUACUAUUAUCUGUCACUGGAUGAUUAUUUUUUUUAAAAAAUGAACGGACCGGGCACAAUCAAUGAGGCUGAAAUGAAUACUUGAUUUUUUUGAAGCACAACUAAUCGUCAGUGGAUUGCGUUCAGUGCGCCUGCACUGAAUUUAUAUAUCCUUUGGAAAUAUUAUGCUUGUGAGCAAUGAAUUUGGAAGAAAAAAUAUUUCCAUGAAACACAGUUUUCUUAAUUCUUCAGAUAGGAAAUACAUUUCAUUUUAUGUUUUGUCAAACAUAUGAGGUACGGUUCAAUGCUGAACGCAUCAUUUCCAUAAUACGAGUGUUUGCAAGUCACUCAUCUACAUUGUUGUUUGAUGAAUACAUGAAGAAGUGUUGCCUCUUAAGAAAUAUGGUAAGCUUCAUUAUGUCUCUGAGCAUUUGGGAACUGAGGCAGGAAAGUUCCCAUUUUUAAAAAAUUGUUCCCUUAACUCCCUUGAAUAGACAUUUUCUUGCAGCAAACCUUUCAUUUUCUUCCUGGACAUUCAUCACUGCUUUUUGAAGUAGCGCUUUUUGAAGAACUUGCAUCAAUCUGCAAGUGAUUAUUAUGAUUUCCACUGCACUUGCUUACAAAUCUAUCAAUUUCUUCUGCACACUUUUCCUGGUCAGAUAGCCAUAGCCAGGGGAAAAAAAAAUAGCAGUCUCAGCUAAUAACAAAUAAGCAAAAAGCAAACUCAGCUUGAAACGAACAGCAGGAUUAUCAAACCUGCACACUCAAACAUCCCAGCCAGGACGUGCCUGCAAUACCCAACUCCUUGAAGCCUCUCUCUUUCCAUGCACCACUUCACAUCCUCGUGACAGUCCUAUAAUUGCUUUCCCCAAAUAUGGAGAAUAGGGGCUCAAAACUUUGUACAAGUCAUACAAGACUUAUGAGAUGAUAGGGUUGUUCACUAACUGCAUUUGGCAGCCUGAUGGAUUUCAUGAAAUAACGCGAGUACCAAGGUCACCAUUUCAGCUUCCCUGGAGAAACAAUGAGCACUGGGUUGGGAAACAGCACCUUCCAUUCCCAGUGACAUUGCCAAAACGUCUUAAAUUUUAUGUGGAUUUAUUUUGUAAAACAAAAAUCUGUAGGAUUGCUGCAAUGUCCUGUUGUGAAGAAAAUGCUCCAAAUGGAGAAUUUGGUUUUGUAUUUUCCCUGCUAUGGAACCCACCCAAGCUGAAAUAUGUUUGCUUUCAUGGGAGUGACAUGCAUGGAAGAAGCAGGACCUACUACUCGAUAAAUACUUUGGUUCAUUCAGUACUCUGCCAAGAGAAUUCCUUGCAAGUGAGAUUAGGCCUGCAAGAUGCAUUCCUAUCAAGUGAGGAGUGAAACAAGGCUAUAGUUGGGUGCCUUUUCUAUUUAGUUUAUAUAUUAAUGAUUUAAUUCCUGGUAAGGCUUCCCCUUACCAGGGGAUGUGGGUGGCACUGUGGGUUAAACCACAGAGCCUAGGACUUGCCGAUCAGAAGGUUGGCGGUUCGAAUCCCCAUGACGGGGUGAGCUUCCGUUGCUCAGUCCCUGCUCCUGCCCACCUAGCAGUUCGAAAGCACGUCAAAGUGCAAGUAGAUAAAUAGGUACUGCUCCGGCGGGAAGGUAAACGGCGUUUCUGUGUGCUGCUCUGGUUUGCCAGAAGUGGCUUACUCAUGCUGGCCACAUGACCCGGAAGCUGUACGCCGGCUCCCUCGGCCAAUAAAGCGAGAUGAGCGCCGCAACCCCAGAGUCGGCCAUGACUGGUCCUAAUGGUCAGGGGUCCCUUUACCUUUACCUUUAAGGCUUCCCCUUCUUUCCCCCUUCCAUUGGAAAUCAUGAGUUGUCCAUAUUGCUUAAUGCCAAUCACCAGGCUUUGCUCUCCUUUAAUAAAAUUGACCUGAAAAGAAAGCUAACCAGAUUUGGGCAGCUGUGUAAAGAAGAACAGCCCGCAGUAAACUAUACAAAACUUAAGUUUGUUAUAUUUGGCAAGAGGGCACUUAAGUUCUGGUUGUACAUCAGAUGGGCAUCCCCUUGAACAUUAGUCCAAACUAACAUUGCAAAACUUAUUUUUCAUGCCUCUGGCACUAGCUGCUAUAGGCAUCAAUUGCAGGCUGGGAGGAUGAUUUUGAUGAUGACUUACAUUUCUAGACUGCCCAUCAACCAAGUUCCUUUGCGCACUUUGCAAAAUAAAUGAAAUGAACAAAUACAAUGCAACCUAUAAAACAAUUUCAACACAAAGAACACAAAUACAAGAAAUGCAGAUUAGAUUAACAGGAUGCACACUCAAAACCCAGCAAACAACAGUAUAUGAUUGAUUACCUCCACUUUCCCACAUCCAUUCACAGCAGGGAUUUCUGUCCUAGGUUCUUAUCUUCAAACAUCACAGUGCUUCAGGGAAUAAGCACAUGUUCUGAAAUAGCUGCACACACAGCUCAAAAUUGGUCACCUCCACCCAUUUGAAAAGGGUUUCUUGAAGACUGCUUUGACUGUCAGAGGCCUCUCAUUAUGCUAGCCUACAAUGUAGGGGUAAGAAGCGGAAGGCAGUUAAAUAUUUGUGUUUAGCAUCAAGAAGAUGACAGUGCUGUUUCAUUACAUUAUUGUAGAUUAGCUAUAUACACUUGGUACAGCUGUUACAAAGUUAAUUAAUAGCAAGAGGCACACUUUUUUUUCAUACAUUUCCCUGGAUCCAGUGGAAAUAACUGUCAAGGAAAUGUUUAAUCAGGUUAGUACUUUUCAUGUGCUGCGGUUUACCAUUUAAAAGAAUUUCUAGGAUACAGUGAAUUAACAGACCACUCAAAGGUGAGCUGAAACAUGGCCAUGUUGUAUUCCUCCUUCCUUCCUGUGAAAUUGUUUAGAGGUGGGUGCAAAAGAAACAAGAAGUAUUUCUUCUUGCUUAAAGGCUUCUAUCUGAAUAGGAGGAGUUCUUGUGCCAAGAGAUGCAUUAAAACAACAUCAGUCGGAUCUGUUUAAAGGAUGUGCAGACGGCAGGCUUCCAGGCAUCACAUCAAUGGCUACUUUGUUGUUUUGCCCACUGCAGUUUGCAUUUUCAUACAUUAUGUUUACCAUUAAAUUGGCAACAUGGUAAUGAGCAAAGAUUAUGCAGCUUAUUGGAAUGCACCCACUUCUGAAUUCCCAGUUUUCCUGCAAUGGAGUUUUAAGCUAUGUUCUAAAUAACUUAGGACGUGGGUGGCGCUGUGGGUUAAACCACAGAGCCUAGGACUUGCUAAUCAGAAGGUUGGCGGUUCGAAUCCCCGCGACGGGGUGAUCUCCCGUUGCUCGGUCCCUGCUCCUGCCAACCUAGCAGUUCAAAAACACGUCAAAGUGCAAGUAGAUAAAUAGGUACUGCUCCGGCGGGAAGGUAAACGGCAUUUCCGUGCGCUGCUCUGGUUGGCCAAAAGCGGCUUAGUCAUGCUGGCCACAUGACCCGGAAGCUGUACGCCGGUUCCCUCGGCCAAUAAAGCAAGAUGAGCGCUGCAACCCCAGAGUCGGUCACGACUGGACCUAAUGGUCAGGGGUCCCUUUACCUUUAUCUAAAUAACUUGUUUUGAUAUGUUCCAAGAACCUUGCAUCUUGAUGGGUUUUAAAGAGCCAGGGUUAAGCUGCUUGGUUUGGGCCUUUGCAUGUUUAGCUGUUAGAUUAAUAUAAUUUUUUUCCAUAUUCUAUUGCUACCAGGCUUGAGCCCUUUAGGAGAGGUAGACAUUUAUUGAAUCAUAUCGUAAACAUUAUUUGCAUUCUUGGCAAAUAGGUGUAAUGCAUUUCAUAAGUUUUGACCAUAACGGCUGCCAUGCUGGGGCAGAACCACCUUCCUAACACCAGCAUUGCCAAUCCAGUGCUGGGGCAUCCAUGCAACCACAACCUCAUUGCCCUCCUGCCCUCCUACCCAGCUCCAUGCAAAUAAGCUAUGGCAAUACUAAUGCUGAGAGGGAGGCUCUGCAGCAACAGGCUGACCAUUCUGAGUAACAUAUUGGAAGGGAUGUUUCUGAUGCAAGACAGGGACUAUGAGUAACAUCUCAGUAGGAGUAUUUCUAGGACUAAGCAGACGCCCCCAUGUUAUUUUUGCUAUUGGAUGCUGCAUGUUGCAAUAUAAUCUUGUUAAAAUUUAUAGAAUCAAAAUGUACUUUUUGUAUGUUAUUAUAUUUGUGUUUUGCUAUGGACCAUAAAGAAGGCUGAUUGCCGAAGAAUUGAUGCUUUUUAAUUAUGGUUCUGGAGGAGACUCUUGAGAGUCCCAUGAACUGCAAGAAGAUCAAACCUAUCCAUUCUGAAGGAAAUCAGCCCUGAGUGCUCACUGGAAGGACAGAUCCUGAAGCUGAGGCUCCAAUACUUUGGCCACCUCAUGAGAAGAGAAGACUCCCUGGAAAAGACCCUGAUGUUGGGAAAGAUGGAGGGCACAAGGAGAAGGGGAUGACAGAGGACGAGAUGGUUGGACAGUGUUCUCGAAGCUACCAACAUGAGUUUGACCAAACUGCAGGAGGCAGUGGAAGACAGGAGUGCCUGGCGUGCUCUGGUCCAAGAGUCGGACACGGCUAAACGACUAAACAACACAAAUGUUAUGAAAUUGUGUGUUUGUGUGUGUGUGUGUGUGUAUACCUAUAUAUUAUAUUUUCUUUUUUAUAAAACAUUUCAAACAUUACAUUAACAAACCAACAACAUACUCUUUGCUCUGCCAAGCGUAAGACUUCCCAGCACCCCUCAUCUGGUUUUCUAUUAUCAAAUAAACACACUCGCACUUUAAAUUAUAGUUUUCUGAUCUUAAUAAAUUUGACAUUAUCUCCUUUUCUCUGAUCAUGAAAAGUUCCUCAGUUUAUCAUUGCAGGAUUUCUUCUUCACAUUUUUGCAAUAAUUAUUCAUAUAACAAAUAAAUUUAUUCCAGUCUCUUUGAAAUUUUUGGUCACCUUGGUUCCAGAUUCUACCGGCCAGCUUGGCCAACUCCGCAUACUCCAUCAUCUUCAUCUGCCACUCCUUGAUUGUUGGUAAUAUGUUAUGAAAUUGUUGCCAUGCUAUUGCUUUGCUACAUUAUGAAAUUGUUACUGUGUUGUUAUGAAAUCGUUACUAUGUUAGCACUUUGCUACAUUAUUAUGCAAUUGUUACUAUGGUAUUGCUUUGCUAUGUUAUGAAAUUGUUACUAUGUUAUUAUUUUGCUAUGUUAUUAUGAAAUUGGUUUUGUGGUGUUUCUCUGAAAUGCAUCCUUGUUUCUUUGCAGUAAGCCACUUUGAGCAUGAAUUUGUGUGUGGAAAAGUGGCAUACAAGUAAAAUGAAUGAAUCAAUGAAUGCUGUGUUUUGACACUGAGAUUGCUAAAUGCUAAAGAAAAUGAAAGUAUCUGAUAACUAGCAGCAGUAUGGAAGUCUAGCUACCCAAGUACACAUUACACUCAAUGCAUACCAUAUAGCUGCUUUAUUCUUUUUUUACUUCUAUUAAUCACUGGUUUGCAAAAGGGCAUCCUCACCAAAUCAUGGUGAGGGGAGAAUUAUGUCUUCCAGCAUGAAUGGAACUAACACUAUCCCUCUGGUUGUGGCUAGAAUAUUUGGAAAAAUAUUUCUCAUCCUUGCCCUUGAAGCCACCAGAAUUGUAACAGUAGCAGGAACCAUACCUAACUUUCUCUGGAAUAUGCCCAUUUACAUUAUUUUCAGUAGCUCUAACUAGAGCUUGUUUGUACAGCAGCAUGCUGCUUCCUCUGUUUUGGCAUUUCAGGUAUUCAGCACAAAAAUAAAUAUGCAGGAAACAACAUUUGAAGGUAUAAGGGGGGGGGGAGUUGAUGAAAUAUGAAGCAUUGCUUCUUUCCUAUGUAUAAUGUGCCACCUAUGCUGAUCACCCAGCUAUUUCCUUGGAGCCACAAACUGAAUCAGACUGGAAACUCUGCUAAUGUCCUUCCCUCUCAUUCGAGAAAAAUCACAUUUGCAAAUUCAUAAUUCAUAGUCACACAGGAUUUUCCCAAUGGAAGAAACUGCUAACAGGAAUCCUAAACUAGAAUUAAAACUCAAUGACUGGUGGCUAUGUGCUGAUUCUAGGAUCCAAUCCAUACCUAAGGGGACUAAGAGCUGUGACUCAACAGUUAGAACCUCUGCUUUACAUGCAGAAGGUUCCAGGUUCAGUCCCUAAAUUUAAUCUUCAUGUGAGGCUGGUUUUCUGGAUCAGAUUUUGUCUGGAAAGCCCAUAGGACAUAUAUUAAUUGCAACACUUUCCAUGGGCUGAGAUGAAAAUUAAUCUCAAUGAGUUCAUUGCCCUGAUCCAUGACCUUUGCAGAGAGUAGACGGGGCUUGUGUGACCUUGUUCCUACUUCUUGAACUCUAAUUGGCUUUUGAUGUCGUUGAUCAUCAUAUCCUCCUGGACAGGCUCUGGAGAAUGGGGUGAUACACAUGAGUAGCACUAGGGGGAAGCAAAGGGGGCAAGUGCCCCCCAAACAAGGGGCUUGCCCCUAUUUGCUGGCUUCUGUCAUUAACAUAUAGUGCUAUUUUCUUUCAGAGAUCUUAAUGUGUGCGACACAGCUCACCCACCUAAAAAUAUACUUUGUCUCUUCUAAGCCCCACCUCAUUUUUUUUUCUUUUUCUGGUGCCACCACUGAUUCUACAUGAAACUCCUGCUGAUUUGGUUUCCCUUCCUCUUGUUUUGCCUUCCUUGUUAGCACCAAGAUGAGCAGAAACUACAGCAGCACACUCCAGAGUCUUGUGACACAAACUGGCAAAUUGUGACUACGCAAAGUGUGUGCUCCCUUUCUAACCACUUGACAUGAAUGGAAAAUUCCUGGUGAAUUCUUUUCCAAAGCAGCUGUUUCAAAGAUUUGCAAAUCUCUCCAUGAGUUCUGAAACUUUGUUCUGCCCUCUAUUGAGUUAAAGCCAGAAAUCCCCUAUCCAUAUGCAAACAUAUAUUCAAAUGUGUGACUUUCACACUCAGGUAGACAUGAUUAUUUAUAUUGUUAGUGCUUAUCAAUUGUUGACAGUGUGCACAGCAAUAUAUAUACUUAUAGAACGUGACAGUGAAGCAUUUCUUCAAAGCCCCUCUAAGAAAGAGCUUGUUUUAGGAAAUAUUUGGAUCUCUUUUCUGGUAGUUCCAUCCACAUAUUUUUUUUACAAUGAAUUACUGGUGAAAGUAAUAUCAGGGAACACUUUAGCUCUCAUUGUGAGUUCCUCCAAAAUGUAUAGCGUUUAUUCCUCCUACACAGUUAUAACUAAGGCAACCAGAUGUGAGAGAAGACAGGGCUCUUGAGGAAAAGGAUGUAGCAGAAUGGUAGUGCAUCUGCUUUGCAUGAAGAAGCUCUCAGAUUCAAAUCCCAGCCUCUCCAGGGCUUGAACCAUCCUCUGCCAGAAACCUUGGAGAGCCUCUGUAAACCCUACUGAGCUAGUGGGACCAAUGGUCUGAUGCUGCCUGAGACAGUGUCCUAUGUUUCAUAAGGUACUUAGCUGCAUUCCAUGACCACUGAGCAUACACAGUCCUCAUUGGGCUGCUUUGGAAGUCCCCUCUCCCCAAGGAUUUUUUGACUGAGAGUAUUUCUGCUAACCUUGGAGUUUUCUCCAAGCCUGAUAAUACUUGUGGGGUUGGGCGGGAUGAUGCAAUCAUUAGGAUCCAUGAUUGGAAAAUUAGUUUUUUAGUUUAUAGGAUGUGCUUACUUUUUUAAAACAACAACAACAACAGCUUCUGUUUGCAUUAUUUUUAAUUUUGUGUUGUUUAAUAGAAAAUAAUUAUUAAGCAUUAUAUCAUAGAAACACAAAGCUAUAUUGGUUUUUACUGCGGAUCUAAUAAACCCAAGGUCCAUUUAGACCUUGCUGGUCUCUACAGUAUGCCGGUAUGUUUCCUUAGUGGACUAGAUUCAGCUUUUCUCCAAGGAGAGGGGUGGUGGUGAGUUCUCAGAAUCACAGAAUUAAUGCAUUUUCUUCCAUCUAGGAUAACUUUCAUAACACUCUAUGGAUUGCCUAGUCACAAACUGGGAAAUAAACAUUAGGUUUCAUUUGGUUUGCAGUUUGUUUUUAAAGUGUGGGUGACAUAUGCAAACCCUCCCUUAUCCCCAAAGGGGAAAAGUUUGUGCAAAUCAGGAGUGACUCUUAUAUCAUGCAGCACCAGCAAUGUGAUACUUUUUGCUCACAGUGUGGAAGAAGAGAAAAAUAUGUCUUCUCUCUCAUCGCACCACAAAUGUAUGGACCACUGAGAUGCUGGAACUUGAAAGAGGAGAGGGAGGAAAGCCAUUCACCGUUUGGUGCUAUUCAUUUAGGCACACCUAAACACACUGAUUAAUGGUGUUAGACAUACAAAAUUCUGCACAGACCCAAACUGUUGAAGUGAAUAUAGCUUUCAUGAUACAUAAGAUACAUAGCCAUGUGCUAGUUACUAACUAAUGUCCAAGACAAAGAAUGGGGUUAUUAGUUCCUAGUCUGUAGACUACUUGAUUAUUUUGAAAAUAUGGAAGUUAGCAGAGCUAGGCCCCUGCCAUUUAGAUUAUGACAAUAUUAAUUUUGUUACUGGGCAUCUCCGGGAAGAGAAGAUGGGUACAUUUCUGUUCAUUACAGUUUUAUCUCAGCCUUCCUACAAGGAUCUCAGGAUGGCAGGAAUUUACCUUUUUAUCCUCACAAUAAUCUUGCUAGGAUGAGAGAAAGUGAUUGGCCCAAGGUGACCCAAUGAGCUUGAUGCCUUUGGAACCCCGCCCUCCCUAGUUCUUUAAACAUUACAUCACACAGCUUCUCUGUUGCUCUCUCCUUCCUCUGCCUAAGCCACCUUAAAAUGCUAAAUUCUGUUUUGUUGUUGAGAAAAACUCAUCACAUCUAUCUCGACAGAUUCCCCGCAGACCUGACUGUGUGCAGUGCUACAGAAAGCAAGGAGUGAAGCUCUGCCAUGCUUUAGAUCCUGCUGAUAGGAUGCCGCAAGGCACUUGUACGCAGAGAGGAAUUCAAAGGAAAAAAUAAUAAUAAUCAGACAACUUAGGAGCAGCUCAUAACUCAUUCUAAUCAGUAUACCACUGUGUUGGAGAUGGCUAUUACAAACAAAUAAAUACUAUCAAUUAUUCUCCCUUUUUGUAUUUAGUAUGAUGCUCUCAGCAGUGAUUGCCUGUAUUAUGGAAUUACAAUGGUAACCUAAGGGCUGUUAAGAGAUGCUGAUGCUGUGAAAAAGAGGAAGUGCUGCUGUAACGAGAGGCCUCAUGAGCAAAACACAGGUGUUGGCACAUCUGUAUGGGGUAGUGAUUCCUAAACAGUAGUCUGGAGAGAAUCACCUCUACUGUUUUUAGAGAUGGCUGAAUCGUUUGGUGGUCAUCCUGAAAAAUCAGUGGUGCCCUUUAACUAAUCCUGCUGUACAUCUGAAAAACCCUGAGGAAUGUUUGAAGCAUUCAAAAUGAAUACUUGAAUGAUCCCAAUUGAUGUCCCCCCUCUCCUGGCUGUGACCUCCUACUUGAAGGAAAAAUAAAUCCCUACCUUGGUUUGGACACAGACAGGAACCUCUCCCUCAGGGGAGUGGCAUUUAAAACGUAUUUUUACAUGCCACCCCAAUCUCUGAGCAGUGUGGAAUUUCAGGUAUAGCAGGAGCACUUACCAGGGUCUGUGUUCCCUUUUGGACAAUGAGGCACUGCAGAGUCUGUGAUGCCUUUAAGAUAUAUGGUAUUAUUUACACAUAUACAACCUGUGUCUACUAAAGCAAACAAAACCCACCAAUUAAAAAACAGCCCAGGUACACUAAAAGCAGCAGCUAAAAUUAACCACUAACACACAUGAAAUAUCCUGUUAGAUCUUUCUUUCAUCCUUUUUAGCUCUGCAUUUUACAGAUGAAAUAUCCUGUUAGUUCUGGGACCAGUAUACAGUAUGUGGCUUCUCUGACAGAAUGGGAUGAAUCUAUUUUUUAAAAAUCCAUUCACGUAAGGAAGCCCACUCCACUCUUGUCUUUGUGUGUGUGUGUGUGGGUGUGUGGGUGUGGGUGUGUGUGUGUGUGUGAGAGAGAGAGAGAGAGAGAGAGAGAGAGAGAGAGAGAGAGAACUUUAAGUUAGGAAUGUAUGCCUGCCUCACUGUCUGGCCCACCAAGAGAAACUAUCUGUCUGGGCCCAUGAACCUUACUUGUGCUAAGCCAGACAGACCAUUUCUCCAUCUAGCUCAGAUGUGGGGGACCUGUAGUCCUUCAGAUGCUCUUGGACUCCAGCUCCUUCCAGUUUCAGCUAACAUCGUCAGAAAUUAUGAGAGUUGCAGCACAACAACAUCUGGAGGGCCACAUGUUCUCCAUUUCUGAUCUAGACCACUAUCGUCUACUCUGACUAGUACCAGCUCCUGCUACCUGAAAUCUUUUUAAUUUGCAUUGACAGGGAUUGAACCUGGGUCUCCCUGUAAACAAAGCAUGUAUUGCACUGAGCUGCUGUCCUUUCCAGUAACUGUGAUCACACUGCUGUUUCUUUCUUCAUCCUUUUCAAUCCCUCCCUUAUACACCUUCACUUUGAGUCCCAAGACCAGCCUUCUCUGACCCGGUGCCAUGUUGUUGUUGGACUACAACUCCCAUCAUCCUUGACCAUUGGGGCAGAUUAGAGUUGCAGUUCAAGAACGUUUGGAGAGCAGCAGCUUAGGGAGGACUACCCUCGGCUAAAGAGCUGGAACCCAGAACUUCCUGUUCUCAGCUGAGUGCCAGGAGAGUUUGCAUUUUGUUCCUGCGGUUCUUACUAAUUCUUACUACCUAUCUUUUCACAAACUUUUUAGAUAAGACAAGUUGUAGAAGAACCCUUCCACAGCAUUUCUCGGUAAGUUUUCAUUAAAUGGGGUCAUUCAUUUGGAUGCUAACCCAUGCAUCAAAAGCUCCAGGUUUCCAACAAGGAUUUCUCUUGUCCAAAAAUAAUUCUAGAGAUAAGUCAUUUUUAAAAUGAAAUCCAAGCAGAGAGAGCCAUAAAUCAAUGUAAAAUAGAGCAGAGUGUAUCUUUUUCAUGAAGAGUAAUUUGUGUGCUAUGUAUAAGGGCAAAGAAAGGGUAAUUUCUAUUCCCUGGGCAGAACACAUGCAUGCCCCUAAUCUUGAAACAAAGUGAUCUAUGAGUUUUAUCAAGUAGCUAUCUCUAAUCUGUUUGUAGUGGCAAUUAAUACUGUAUGGAUAAAAUGUCCUAAAUUAACUUGAGCUGUGUUGAUUACUCCCUACAGUGAUACUUGAUUGGAGGACGUGGGAGUAUUGAACAGGUGAGUGCUUAUAAUAUAGGAAGUGCUUUGGAUAAGAUACUCUUGAUAGUCUUUACUUGCUGUUCAGGAUUAGAUACUAUAACUUCAUUAACAUUUUGAAAUGAAACAAGAGUUGGAAUUAGUUCAUGUUAAAACUUCCCAUUUUCUAACCCCUCCAGUACUUUGCCUUUCCAACUCACAGUGAGGGGGUAGCUGGUUGUGUCUACACAAAACCUGUUGAGAAAAUUAGAAACACUUAAUAAAGGCCCAUGGGACACAGGUGGCGCUGUGGGUUAAACCACAGAGCCUAGGACUUGCCGAUCAGAAGGGCGGCGGUUUGAAUCCCCGCGACGGGGUGAGCUCCUGUUGCUCAGUCCCUGUUCCUGCCAACCUAGCAGUUUGAAAGCGUGUCAAAGUGCAAGUAGAUAAAUAGGUACCGCUCCUGUGGGAAGGUAAACGGCGUUUCCGUGCGCUGCUCUGGUUCGCCAUGACUCUGGCCUCAUGACCCGGAAGCUGUACACCGGCUCCCUCAGCCAAUAAAGCGAGAUGAGCGCCGCAACCCCAGAGUCGUCCAUGACUGGACCUAAUGGUCAGGGGUCCCUUUACCUUUACUAAUAAAGGCCCAUGGGGAAGUGCUUCCAUUCUUUCUGUGUUGCUGUUGUUGGAAAAUAGGUUUUGGUAUAAUGAAGAUGGCAGAGGGAUCUGUAAGGCCUCCAGGCCUCACCAUGUAUCUGGAGCAGGCCAAGGCCUGAAGCUCAGAAUGGUGUGAGCUUCGAGGCUAAUUCAUGAACUGAGUAUCCCCAAAUAACUCAUUUUAGGAGAUAGCAUUCUGACUGAUUCAGGAACCCAUUGCUCACUACUGAGAAGUUAGCACAUCAUGGUGACAUGGAGGAGGAAGAGAAGGGGGGAAGUAUCCUUCCUCCACUUUCCCUGCUGCUACUUCUUGACAGGUAAGUAAAGGGAAGUGUUUGGGGAGUCAGGGACUGGCAGGGAAGACUUUUAAGCAGACUAGCAGAUGUCUGGGGCUAGUAAUUUCUCUUCUCACUUGAAGUGAGCUUUUAUGAGUCCCUCAAGUUUUCAUUCAAACCCAUCUCCAUCAGCAUCUCUGGUCCUUUGGGGAUAACAUAAAGUCCCCUAUGAAAGGUGGAGAUGAGUUUGGAUAUGGAGAAGAAAAUAGAGUCACAGAUUUGGGGUACCUUGAAAUUAAGAGAAUGGUUAUUAGAUCAUCUAAAACUCAUAUGGGCAUAAAAGCAGCUCAUGCUACUCUUCUCUCCUAGUAUCUUAUGAAGAAUCUUUGCUAAUCAUAUAGUUCAAAACAGAAAUAUCCCCAUGUUUCUGCUUUUCCAACAAAAAUUGCCAGUUGCCUUUCGGAAUAUGAGUUUCCUUUAAGACGUUACACAUAAUACAGAAUUUAGAAAUCACAGGUGGGAUAUAUACUCCACGAAGGUCCCAUUAAUAGUUACUUCAUCAUUAAUUAUUGCUGAAGGCAAGAGUAAAUUUUAAAUGAUUUCUUUCUUGUGCAAAAUUAAUACAUGUCCUAGCACAGUCCUUCAGUCUUGGAAAAUAUAGGAACAUUUUUUUUCCUGGUGUGAAGCCUUUUAGUAACUCUUUAAAAUGGCUUGGGAGCCGGUGGACUCUGGAGCAAGUCUUUUCAUAAGUGCCUGUUGUAUAACAGAUUGAUGCAAGCUUAAAUUACACAAUGACGUAGAUGAAUAAGGGCUUCAGUCAUCAAAGCUCUUUCUUCUGGUGAAAGUCUCGCUUCCUUAAUCACUGAGAUUGUAAUGAACGGACUUCUUAUGUCUGCCUCUCAUCUUAUUUGCUUCCACUUAAAAUGGUAAUUCCAUCUGGUCCUUCAGAGAUGUGUCCAACUAAAGUUUUAAUUUCUGCUGAGGCCCGUUGCCCUUUGAACGAUAAAUUACUAAUAAUAAAAUAAGAAGAAAUGAACUCUUGACCUCUUAUGUAACCCAACUCCUGAUUUUUAUUUUUAUUUUUAAUAGUUUUGUAGAGGUCAAGGAGAAAUCUACCACCUACUCAACUAGUUCCUUUUAUGACAUACAAAGGAGCAGCUGUUUGCUUCUUAGAAGAUGCACUUGAUGCCACAAGAAUUGCUCUGAGGUUAUAUGGACAAGCACAUCUAGUUUUUGUACCUGCUGUGAAAGUCUUACUUACAAGG